GGUUCAAUUGUCUGAAGUUGAUGAUCAACUUCAAAGCGUGCUUUGCUAGUAUUUUUUGUACUAAAAUAAGGAAUAAACCUAGUUUCAAGCUUUUGCCUUGCUAUUGUCCGGUUAUUUUGAAUCCAAUACGCAUAAAAAAACAAGACAAAGCCUAUUUUCAAUCCAGUUUGGAUAAAAAGCAACAAAAUCUAGCUCUAACAUUAAUUAAUGGAUUCACAAUUGUAAAUUUGUAAUUAAGCAUCCAGUCUUGGUUCUAUACCCGAUCUUAACUAAGAGUCGUCCCACUCCUUCGCCAAUUGUGGCUAGAAUUUUGGAAAAUACCGAAAUAGGACUAAGACUUGACAGAGGUUAUCUAUUGAAAAAGAUGAGAAGUACUCUUUCUCCUCUUUCAUGUAAAACUAGAAUAAUCCAUUGAAGAUAUGUUCGGUUUGGGGUUGAUUUUCAACUUCCACUUCCACUUUACUUCGGCAGAAGACAAUGACAUGUAAUUUAUGAUGUCAGUAUAAAACGAGUACCUCCUGUCAACAGAAAAAGACCAACUCUACUUUGCACGAUUAAUGUUUUCAUUAGUUUUCUCUUUACGUUUUUUGCAACCUAAGUUAUGAAUAUGCUCUAUCCAUUCUAAUUUUUUCCCACUGGUGAACGGAGUAGAUAAAACAGAUAUAGGUAUUUCAAAUAUUUACCCUUUUCUUGGGUUCUGAAGAAUUGGUGUCAAUUGUAAUGAUUAAGCAGGAAGAGUAGUGUGGCGUACAAGUACAGGUACACGUCAUUUGUUUCUUUCAAGAAUUAUGCUAGAGAUUACAGCUAUAUUGAAACUAAUUAAUAAGUUUAUGGGUGCAAUGGAUCCAGAAUAAAAGUUUGAGGUACCGGGACAAUUAUUGAUAACUUAGGGCGCAAAUGAUCAAAAUAAAUGUUGAAGGUAUAAUAUGAGAUUCUGGGUUCAAAAAAUAGUUAUUCCAAGUAGAAAAUUCUUUUGCUUUUUUUUUUUGGGCAUAUGUCUCUUGACUUGUAGAAACUUAUUCCAUGAUAUCAUUUUUCUUGCAUGUCCAGACGACAAAUGAAAGUAGAGACCAAAAGAAAAAAAAAAAAAUCCUUUUCCUUCCCUCACCUUCUCACUCAAAUUUAUGAGGACUGAAGCCAAUGCUUACCAUUUUGAGAAAGAAAAAAUAAAUUACUGUAUAAAUAUGAGUUUCCUUUUGUUCAUGCUUAAGUAAAUUCUCGAUUAAUAAAAUUCGGGAUUGGCGUCCCCUUCUCAUAUACAAGGUUUGUAAAAAGAAAAAAGAAAAAGUAAAUUCUCAGCUAGAUACAGUUAUGAUCAGAGAUGAAUUUGCUUGUAUUCAUUCAUUUGUUAGCAUUAUUGCAGCUACUGUACUAUGGUUGCACUGGGUGAAUAUUUGGGCUUUUCACAUUGUUUUUCUUGAAGUGUUUCUCAGUUAUUUGGACUUUUCAAAUUCGAGUCCACAGCUCUGAAGAUGACUAUUGGCCUAAUUGCUUGUAAAAGUUCAGAAAAAAUUUUGGCUUAAGACUUUAUUGAUUAGGACAGUUGAAAUUAAAAGUUAUUCCAGAUUAAUCAGCAGAAAUGAAACCUUAAAUAACUAUUGACAUCAUGCGCACAUUAUUUUCUACCUCUGUAGAAAAAUAAAAGUGUAUAGACUGCGAUUUUUAUAAUCAGUGAAUCCACAAUAAUUAUUCUUCUUAUUUGUGUUUUGCAACUUUAGUGAGAAAGAGAGGCGAAAUUUUUUGGUUAUUUCAAUGAAAGCAAACAUUACAACUAGUACAAUGAUUUCCAUAUGUUGUAAUUGUGCGCAAUAUUUCAAAGGUCCUUCAUUCGGGAACUUAGACAGUUAAAAUGCUUAAAAGCUGCAAUUACAAACAUGACCUGGCUGGCAAUGAAGGGAAGGUUGAAUUUGGAAUUAGACUUGGGUUUGGUCUCUAGAAGAUUAUUUGGAAUAGUAUUCUGGAAAAAUACUGUAGCAUUUUUUGUAAUGUGAUAUAUUUAAGAUAAAAUGAUGGUUGAGAAGAUAUAAAAAAAAAUUGAUUGAAAAAUGUGUUUAUAAUACAAUCAAAAUUUUUUUUUCCUGCAAAUAAAAUACUGCAGGUGUGGAACAAAUAAUUAAAUUGGAAAUGUAAAGUAUAUAUUUUUACAAAGUGUGAAUUUAAUUGGACAUGUAAUUAUUAUUAUUUUUUUCCUGCAAAUAAAAUACUGCAGGUGGGGUUUGAACUCCCCACCUACGGCCCGCCAAUGAGCUAAGCUCAGUGGCUUGACAUGUAAUUAUUUAGGUUGGUAACUACUUGUUUUUUCAGUCAGAGGGCCCGAAAGGGUUUUGGCUUCAUUCUUUAGGCUCGUAUAAAAAUAGGAUGAUUUGGUGUUUCCCAUGUAUGUACUCGACAAAAUGUUUUGCGAAAUCACCGUCAAACUUUUACUUCUCUAUAUAUAUAUUUUUGAUAGUGAUGAUACCCCCUUAACUUAAAAAAUACAGAUUUGCAGACUCAUUCCAUAACUUUAAACAGUUUAUCUUUUAUUGAAUAUGUCAAAACAAAGUAAUUUUGAUCUUCUCCUUCUUCCAAUGAUGCUCAGUGGCAGUUGCAACUCCCACUUCCUCUCCAUGACCAUUUGACCACCACUGGGUGGCGAUUGACCAAUACUAUUGACUAUUCCAUCAUCUAUAUUUGAUAAAAUUACAUCCUUAAAUUGCAUAGAUUCUAAAUUUGGCUUAGUCUACUAUGAAUCUUGAUAGAAUAUAUUAUAUAUGAAGUGAAAAUGAUAAUUCUACAACCGUUUGACGAGGGAAAAUCAAGCCAGUAAUUUCUCACUUAUUGAUUUUGUACUUUUUACGUCCCUCACAUAUGGAAUGAUGAUUUUUUUGUUUUUUUACUCACAAUAGAAAGCAUACAUUUUUAGUCUCUCAUCUCAUUUUUGCCCCAAAAAAAUCACAUGCAUUUCAUGCCUUGCAAACUUUGGGAAUAAAAUUGGAAGAUCGCCAAAAAAAAAAAGGAAAAAAGUCCUUCAUAUUUCUUACUUCUUCAUUCGAUUUUCCUAACCAAGAAUGAGGCAGCAACCAUGGCUAUUGUCGGCCACCGUAUUGGGAGUGCAGCUGUCGGUCAUUACCACUUUGGAUUACAAAAUUUUAUCAAAAUUCAAUUCCCUAGUCAGUUUUCCACAUAGAAUCUGAUUUCAAUAUUAGUUUUUGGCAAAAAAUGCAUGAAUGCAGGUAAAACAAAAAAUCGUUGGCAAAUAGAAUCUGGUUUCAAUAUUAGUUUUGUGCUUUCUUUUCAAAAUCAUAUGGCUAAUAGAGAAAACAUGGGCUUUCUUUUUAAUAUGUUGGAAGAUUCUAUCCAUCAUUUUGUAAUUUUCACCCAUUUUUGUCUUACUUUUUUUUUUUGCAAUAACUAAUAUUGAAAUUAGAUUUCACAUCAAAAGCUGAAUGGAGUGUUGAAUUUUUGUGAAAUUUUGUGACUAAAAGUGGUGACAACCAACGGUGAUGCCGCCACUAUGGUGGUCGGAGGCAGCCAUGAUGAUUGCAUUAUUUUUUACUAGAAAAAUAGGACUUAAAAAAAAAAAGAAAUGUGAGGGAUGCUAUUUCUUUUUUCCCUGCAAUCUUCCAAUUUUGCCUAAAAUUUGUGAGCUAGGGUUGCAUGUGAAUUUUUUUUGGGCAAUAAUCUAAAUAGAAAUGAGUUGAGGGACUAAAAAUAUUAAUUUUUCAUCUCCAAGGGACAAAAAAUUACUCCCUCUGUCCCACUUUGAUAGGCCUAUUGUUUUUUCACACAGUUUAAGAAAAAUUAGUUAACUGUGUUGGAACAAUCAAUUUAGGUAGCUAUUUUUCUAAAAUACCCUCACAUUAAUUAGAGUAUAACUUUAUGGGAACUUGAAUUGAUAGUAAAAUAAGAAUCAACUCUUGUUAAAUGUGGUAGGUUUAUAGUAACAACAACUUACAUUGAAUAAGGGUAUUUUAGGAAAAUUAAAAUGCAACUACAUUGUUCAAUUGGAAACUGGACUACAAUUUGGGACAAACGAAAAAUGAAAACAUGACUAUCAAAGUGGGACGGAGGAAGUAUCAUUUAAUAUGUGAGAGAGAUGUACAAAAUACAAACUAAUAUAUAAGGGACUAUUUGUAUGAUUUUUCCAGUCUUCAAAUCUUGCUUUAUCUGGCGGACAUUCAUGGAAAACAAAAGAAAUUUGGAAUCUACGUGAAAAUGACGCUGAAGGGGUUAAUUCUCAAGAUAUGACGAUGGAGCCGUUGUGGUCAACAGUCGACCAAUAGUCAUUGAUUGGAUUUGGAAACUAGAAGUUACAGCCACAUAGGAUAUGAUUUUCCCAAUAUUAUAUGCAAAAAAUGAGUCAGCACGUUGGAAUGUCAACACUAAAGUCUUACGUGACUGAUUCCUUGCCAAAAUGCCAUAUUUUGACCCGUGGCGUUUUCGGGAUGCCGCCUAUUGCGUAGAAAAUCUUUUGGAUAAAUAUCUAGGGAUAAUUAUCUUUUGGAUGCCUCCUUGAGGUUUCUUACUAUUUCACUUAGUUCUCUUGAUAUAUUAAAAAUCUCUUGAGUAAAAAAUAUUACCCAUAAAUUAUUAAAAAAUAUUAAAAAUCUUUAAUAUAGAGUAAAAAAUUUAAUGAAUACCAUAAAUUACUCUUAUUUUACAAAGUUCAAUUUGUUCUUCUAAAUAAAAAGAGUAUCAAGUUUUUCAUACUAAUAUUUGUUAUUUAAUAAUCAACUAUAAUAAUAAAUAUUUUGUUGUAAUAGGGUAUUUUUCAUAGCGCUUUAUUGGGAAUAUAAAUUCUUUUUAAGAUAGAGAAAAAAGUGCUAUUUUGUUUCUUUUAAAGUUUAUGGACUAUUUUUUUAAUAAAAAUUUAUGGACUAGUUUAGUGAUGGAACUAUCAUAAUUUGGUAAUGAUUUUGAGCUAUUUGUUUUUAAUCAUUGUUGACUUAUCCUUGAUUUUGAUACCCAAAAAAAAGAGCUACAAAAAAAUUAAAGAAUAUUAAAAGUUAUCAAAAAAAUAUUACUAGUUUAACAUUCAAUUUGAAUAUGUAUUAGGGACAACAUUAAUAGUUCUUCUCUACUUUUAAUGAAAUAUAAGAGAAAUGAAUAAGAAGGAAAAUGGUAAAAAAAAUUAUAAAAUCCAUCCUCUGCAUAACCAAGGCAACAAGAAAGUUUUAUUAAAAAUAUUAAGGUUCGUAUUGUCAUUUUAAAUGGACAAGGGAGGUAGAUGUAAUUUUUAAAAUCUUAGAGGAGCCAAGUGAAUUAUUAGAAACCUCUGGAGAGGUUUCUGAAAUUAUUUCAUUAUUCUAAUAUAACAAAUUAAAUUCCCUUAUGUCCCUAAUGAUUUUCAGUGAGAAGUAUACUAGGCGUUUUUUUUUUCUGCUUUUUUGCCUUUUGUCUUUGUGGUUGCAAAUUACAAUAGCCAACUAAUUGCCAAAAUUUCGAACUCCAAAAUUGUUGAAGCAGUUUUAGAAUUCUAGAGGGGGCACUGAAGGCAAAAUCCCAUUAUUCAAACUAGACAACCUACAGGUGAAACCUGUAUCUAUUGCCAUUUUUUGACUAAGGGAAUAAAACUUGCUUGCUGUUUUUAAACAUGGGUUCAUUACUUGUAUCUAUUGCAAUUUUUUGACUAAGAGAAUAAAACUUGCUUGCUGUUUUUAAACAUGGGUUCAUUACUUUCAGUAGUCUAUAAACACUCUUAUUUCUCACCACUCCUUGUACCAAAAAACCUCUUCAAGAACUACCAAAGCCUUCUUGAAACCCUUCUUGCUCUCAAUCUUUGUCCAUUUGCCAAAAACAAAUUAAAGCAUAUAUCAUGGACCCUAUCACUUACAGUGCUGAGAUGACCUCCUCAAUCCCUCCUGCAAGGUUGUUCAAGGCCGUUAUCCUUGACCACCACCUUCUUCCUAAGGUUGUGCCACAAGCCAAUAAGAGUGUUGAAAUUCUUGAAGGAGAUGGUGGAGCUGGAACCAUUAAAAAAUUUCCAGAAUAGUUUUAGAAUUUAUUCUUUUCCUGAUUUUUGUUUUCAUUCGAUGGAUUUUUCUUGUAUGUAUUAUUAAAUUAUCUCUGAUACAAGUAUACAAUUACUGACAAUUUCUUUUUACUCCAAUAUUCAGCUAGCCCAUUUAAGAGUGACAAACACAAAGUUGAGACACUUGACAAAGAUGACCUAUAGUGUAAUUGAGAGUGAUGCACUGAAAGAAGGAAUUGAGAAAUUCACUAAUGAGAUCAAAUUUGAAGCAUCCCCUGAUGGAGGGUCAAUAUGCAAGACCAUCAGCUCUAUCUACACCAAGGGUGAUGUCAAGAUCCCUGAGGAAGAAAUCCAGGGAGGAAAACAAAGGUCUUUGGGACUGUUCAAGGCUGUUGAGGCUUACCUCCUCACAAAUCCUGAUGCCUACAACUAAUUAGUCAUCCUACUGUAGGACUCUUCCACAUAUUUAUUUGUGUUGUUUUUCCAACGUUUCCUUUUGCUUUAAGCUGUUUGGUUCAAUUAUCUGAAGUUAUGAUCAAACUUCAAAGUGUGCUUUGCUUGUGUUUUUGUACUAAAAUAAGUGGUAAACCUUGUUUGAAGCUUUUGCCUUGCUAUUGUCCAGGAACGACCUAUUUUUAAUCCAAUUGUCAUAAAGAAAAAAAGGACAAAAACUAUUUUGAAUCCAAUUUGGAUUAAAAAAAUGCAAAAAAUUGCACUAACAUAAAAUUUUUGAAAAACACCUCUAAAAACAUUUAAUUCGUACGGAUCCAAUAGCACAUGGAAUGCAAUUUUUAAAUUAAGUGAAUCUACAGUUAUUCUUCUUCUUAUUUUUGUUUUGCAACUAUGGUGAGAAAGAGACGUGAAAAUUUUUGGGUAUUUCAGUGUGAGCAAACGUUACAACUAGGUAUAAUGAUUUCCUUAUGUUGUAAUUGAUUUUCAGUCAAAGGGCCCUGGUCUUCAUGUUUUAGGCUCGCAUAAAAAUACGAUGAUUUGGUGCUCCCCAUGCAUGACUGCAUGUUCUUGACAAAAAGUUUUGGCCCUCAAACUUUGACGUCUGCACGUGUGAUAAUGACCCUCAAACUUUUACGUUUGUACAUGUCUUUGCUUGUGAAACUUAUAAAAGAAAAAGUAAAAAACAUAUAUUUGUAGUUAUUCGGUAAAUUAAAAAAGCUCAUAUUUGUAGUUAUUUGGUAACUUUAAACCGUUAAUCCUUACUGAAUAUGUCAAAAUGAUGUAGUUUUGAUUUUCUCCUUCUUCCAAUGAUGUUCAGUGGGUGUUGCAACUCCCACUGCCUCAAUGACCAUUUGACCACCAUUGAAUGGCGAUUAACCAGUACCAUUCCGUCAUCUAUAUUUGACAAAAUUACAUCCUUAAAUUGCGUAGCAUCUAAAUUUAGCUCAGUAUACUAUAAAUCUUGAUAGAACAUAUGAUAUCUGAAGCAAAAAAUGAUAGUUCUACUACCAUUUGAUAAAUUCUUCAAAUCUUGUUUUACCUAGUGACAUUCAUGGGAAUUUUUUUUUUAAUCUACAUGGAAAAUGAAACCCAAGAGGUCAAUUUUCUCAAGAUUUGACAAUGGAGCACUAGUCCUGAUAGCUUGAUCUCAAUUUGCAUCAUGAUGGAUAUGGACUGUCCUGAUUUUGUGAUUGGAACAGCUUUUAUAGUUGUUCAAGGUUUGUAAAUGCACGCAUAUUUGUUUAUUAUAUAACAAUGUGGUUGUGAACGAAAAGCUUUGUAUCUUUCAAGUUUCAACAUGUUGCAAUCGAGUGCGUAUGUACUUUGUUGUUGUAUGUGAAAUGUUUUUUUAUUCAAUCAAUCAUCAUAGACAAUAGUUGGUAAAAAAAUUAAACAUACUUGAACUUUUGAAUGGCUUUAUGACAAGCAAAUCUCUAUAUUUCUAAGACACAAUUACACACUUGCAUUUAUUUGGUGAAGUCCGAAGAUACUAGCAUAAAACAGAGUAAAAUUUGAACAAGGGGUAGAUUGGAGGGUUGCUGUCGAAUCAGAAUCACCCCUAUUUUUUUGUCCUGAAUUUUUAAUGGAUUGAAAGAACCAUAGUCAUUCUUUACGGAUUUUGAAAAAUUUAAAAUUCCUUUUUUAGGGUUUCUAAGCUUUUGAAAAAUUCAAAACUCCUUUUUUAGGGUUUCUAAAUAUUGAUUUGUAGUACAUGCAGGAUUUGAAGCGUGCCGCUUUGAGUGGCAAUGAAACAGGAACAGGCCAAAUAAUUAUGACUAUGAAGGGUGGCCAAAAUGGAGAAGAAAAAUAGGUGAAUUAAUUUUCCUUGUUGAAUGUUGCCCCAUUUAGUGAUUUUAGCUAUAUUUUUUCAAUGCCAAGGGCUGAUUCUUUGGGAUAGAACAGCACAUUUAAGUGCUUUUUUUUCUGCUUUUGACCAUGGUUAUAUAUCAAAAAAUUUUUUGUUUUGGUACCAGACAUAGUCUUACGUGUCUGAGUGAGUGGUUGGCACUGGUUCAUUUGGGAUUUUGUUCCAAGUACUCCAAAAAAUUAUCUUUGUGUAUGUACUAAUAAUUGGUUUUUGCAGUGAUAAACUUCUGUCACUUAGUCCUCAUUGGCUUUCUUUCUUUGCCCUUGUAUUGUUAUUGCGAUCUAUUUCAAGUGUCUAGAAACAGGUGAUUGUGUUACCAUAAAGAAGCUGCUGCAAGAUCGGAGAUAUAAGAAGUGAUUGUGUCAUUCAUUCAACCAUGAUAAUAUAUACACUGACAGUAUAUAUAAAAUUUACUCAUAUAAGAAUAAGUGUACCUUAAACUUGUGCUCGAGUAUGUUUUUGAAACUGUCUACUGAGUUUCAAGACACCAUAGUAGAAUGAAUCAUCACAUGCCAAUUAUAUCUAUUCAGCUGUAUAUGUACCAGUCACUUUGACAGCUUUAGUUUCUUUUCUUAUAGGAUGGAAGUCUUGGUGGUGUAAUGAGAGGCAAUGUUUCAAAGGGAAUAAGGGACAAAACUGCAUUGUUGUAAUGGGAACUCUCACUUUUGAACCAUGCCUUAUGGCCUAUAUGCAAUUCUAUUUGGUGAAAUAGUUUUCUUGGGGAUGUCUUGCUCAUCACUGAUGGAAUUAAAGUUGAUUGGCUCAUCUCUGUUAAAAGAAAGCAUCAUUGAUGGAAUUAAAGUUGAUUGGCUCAUCGCUGUUAAAAGAAAGCAUCAUUGAUGGAAUUUUGAUUUUUUUCAGUAUUGGAUUGGCUUAAUUUCUUGAGUUAUUAGUUUUAGAAUUAAAGUUGAUUUAAAUAUUAAGGUCCUCAAAAAUAGGAGUCAUAAUGGGGUAGCGGAUUGAAUAGUUUGAAUUGAACUCCUAAGAGGUGAGCUUUCCCUUUGUCUCUGUGUUCAUAAAAGCUAAUUAGGGGAUGGAAAAAUGUUUGUGCUGAGAGGCUUUUUAUUUCAUGCAAUCAAAAUCAUUUUGGAAAUGCCGUCACCUUAUCUUAAUGAAAUUCUGGUGUUUAAAUGAUUAUAGAAAAACAUCAUGUAGUUUUCUUGGUUAAGAAGGUUUUGGACCAAUUCUCCCUACAUAGCAAAAACACGGACGAUCCCAAUAGAGCAUAAAGACCACAUAAUAUCUUUCUUUCACAGUAUCUAUCUACUAAGUAAGACAUCUGAUAAUAUAUUGUAAGCAAAUUUUUGUUAUACUACUUCAUAUGGAAUGCUCAAUGAUCACAGUCCAGUUAUUGAUGAGAAUAAUUUUAAUGAGUCAGUAGCGGCCUCUCAGAAAAAGAAGAAAAUUGGCCUGGAAACAUUUAGGAACAAAUGGAAGAAGUUCUUGAUUUGCAAUAGGAGUUGGAUGUUCUUAAGCUUAUUCUUGCAGUAGAAAGAUCUUACCAUCCGCAAGCUGAGGCAGUGGCACAUUUUCUGACCAGAUUAGAGCUCGCUCAACUCAGAUAACCCUCAACUGUACAAAUAACCAUCCAGGAAAAAUUAGGAAAAUUUGUGAUUUUCUCGGUUCUGGAUUUCAAGUGCUGCUGAAAUUCCUAGAGCGAAAGGUGAGUGCAUCUUUCAAUGAAGUUAGUUAUAUACCACUUAGCACCUCUCUUUCUGUUCUUGGUCCAGACGAUGGAUUGUUCCUGCAUGUGUCUGCUUCCAAGAUAUCUAAAUCUUUUCCAUAUACUUAGCUUUUGUGUUAAAACCCUUUUUGUUUAGCUCUUUUCCGACUUGCUGGUACUUCUUACUCUAGAACACGAUUCUUUUCAACAAUUGUUAGGUAAUUCAUGUUCUAUUAUUCAGUUUUCCUCCCUCUUUUAUUUUCAAGCUUACACAGAUGGGAGGCCAAGAAUAAAUCAUGGAAGAGAAGCAACUAUCAAUGAAUUCAAUGGUCUGUUGCUUCAAUAUUUUGUUUAAGAAAAAUAUUACUUAGUUAUAUCUUAUGUUUUCCUUACGUGUUGCUGUUUUAUCUCAGCCAUUGCAUUAUUGUCGUUGCAGUGACUUCAUGGAGACCUGGUAGAGGUGGAUGAUGCAACAGAAGGGCAUUGUGCCCUUAGAAACAUAGAGACGUGUCCCAAAAAUGGUUUUGCCUAACUGCUACCAUGCUACAGUGUAUCAAUUGCUAUCGUGAUUAGUUAUAUUUGUCUUAAAAAUUAGUAACUUCAUACUGGAUGUAAUCUAUUUAUCAUUCAUAGCGAAUUAAAGACCAACAAAUAUCCUUCUUGGCAAGAACAUGUGAGAGAAAGGUUUCGGGAUGUUGGUCUUUCAAGACUUCCAUUAAAUGGAGCUUCCUACAUGUCAAGUAUGCAACUCUUCCAUCGGACCAUCCCUGUUGUAGCAUAUUAACGAAAAUUGGGCACCCUCACGCAACGCGCGAGGCUGCAAUUUAACUAUUUAGAAGUUAAAAUAGUACUGACAGCAUUAAUGGUGCUCUCCAAAUUCUGAGCAGCUCCAUAGGCCAAAAAGAUCAACAGGAAGACCUAGCUGAGGUUAUGAACGUCUCUUUUGUAAUUGAUGAUGAUGGGAUUCUUUCGAGUUGAUGAGUUGACAUCAACCCGCAGUGGUGUCUCCUUAUCCAUGGCCACUAAACUUCUUGAUAGAGACCAACAAAAAGCCCAUACCCAAUUUUAAUCAAAAUCAAGUCAACCAAAAUUCACACAAACCAAUCGCAAACCUUUUUUGGCUUAUAAACAUGUAAUGUGCGUUUUGCUAAAGUGCAAACCAGGGGUGUAUAUGUAUUGUGCAGAAUAUAACAACUACUAUGACUAAGGGGCAAAAAUUCUUGUAUAUAAAAACAUAUGGUGCCGGCGGAGCUAAUAGGAAGAAGGCGACAUGAGAAAAGGGAUUGGAUUGAGGCCAAGGAAGAAUCUGCAAUUUGAAACAGCCUAAGGGGUUUAGGCGGCCAAAGCGGUAAUCAUCAAUUGUCAUGCUCUCAACUGCAUAUUCUAGUUCUAUAAUCUAUGGCACGACGUGCAAGUAAUUCUAUACUAGAAUACUAGAUGUACUGCUGCUACAAAUAUUUUACAAUCAAAUUCUGCCUUGUACCUGGUCCUAGCUGUUUUCUUCUGCUUUUCUUACUAGCAAAAGGGUGGUAGAAGAAGGGCUGGAGAAGUAGAAGGUCGGUGGCAGGCGGUGGAGAUUGAUAGAAGAAGGAGACAAUCUAAAGUUACCAAAAUGCCCCUGCUUAGUUGUUAAAUUAGGAAUCAAAUUACUUUCAGGUGAUGGAUCGCUGCAGAAGGUUUUAAUUGGAUCCAAAAUUUAAGUUCACGUAUUAAAUUGGCCAAGAAUAAAUGUUAGGAACUGAAUUGACAUUAGCAAAAAAUGUUCAGGACGAAUUUGGUCAGUCUCCCAAUGUCAACUAGGUUUUGACAUUUGAGUAAGCAAAUGUGUAACGAAAAUACUUGCAGAUGCUUCACGGUGCUAAAGAAAGCUAUUGCACCUUAGACCACUUGCUUACCUGUGGAUCUGUGUAUCUAUGGGAGAUGGUAGUGAUCCUUUCUUCUGUAUGAUAAUUGGCACACUGAGGGCCCUCUCUAUUUUAAGUAUCCUGAGUUUCUGCUCAAGAACUUAGGACUUUACUCAUACUAGAAAGUUGCUGACUUUAUUAAGAAUGGACCAACUAAUUGGCCAACAGGUAGAAGAUUUAAUGUUCUGCUGCGAGAUUUUAAGCAAAUCACGCCAGCAAGUUUGCUGGAUUAGUUACAUGGAUCAGAUCAUGUUAAAUGGUCUGUCUCUUCUUCCAGUGAGUUCUCUGUGAAACCUGCCAGAAAAUCUAUCACCAAGGUAGUGCAGUACAAUGGUUUAAACUGGUAUGGGAUGAAGGGAGUGUACAGAAAUAUGCUUUUAUUAUGUGACUAAUGUUGAAAAGGAAAUCAUUAACUAAGGAUAGGCUGCUGAAAUGGGGUAUGACUAAUGUCUCAUCCAAGUGUGUCCUAUGUGGCAUAGCAGGGAAAUUUCUGGACCAUUUGUUUUUUGAUUGUAGCUUUUUAAGAUGUGUGGGACCAAGGGUACGAACAGUUGUCAGUAACAAUCAUUCUGAACGAUGUAAUAUUUUUUGAACAAGGUGUAACUCUAUUUGAACUACUUGUAAAACUAAAUAAUAGAGACACAAUUAUUACAUAUGGGAUCCAAAUAAAUAAUAAUAAAAUAUCACACCUCUGUUGUAAGGAUGUAUAAGAAGUUUAUAUGGAGUUACAAAAUGUUUUAAAAAAAAUAUUACAGCCCCGCACUUGUGUUUGAUGUAUAGAGGUCCCUAACCUUGAAGUCAAGAAAUGGAGCUGUGGCGUAAGCAUUCUUAUGGGAAAUCUUUUGGUGCAAAACCAAGAAGACUGGUGCUAGCAGUAACUAACUGUAUGACAUGUGUGACAGGAAAGACAGUAACUAACUGUAUGGCAUCUGUGACAGGAAAGACACAGGAGUCUUUCAGCUUCUUGAGGCAACUACUUGCAAAGUUCUCGUUGACAUUGCCAAAGAAGACUGGUGCAAAACUAAGAAGACUGGUGCUUGCAGUAACUAACUGUGUGGCAUCUGUGACAGGAAAGACACGGGAGUCUUUCGGCUCCUUGAGGCAACUACUUGCAAAAUUCUCUUUGACAUUGCCAAGGUUAUUCAACUAUCUGUUGUUUCUUGGCCAAGAGUUCCUUGAACUCGAGAAAAUUGGUAGCUGAUGUUGGAGGGACAAGGGCCAAACAACCAUCAGAAAAACUAUUCGGAGCGAUUUUAUGCAAAAUGCACAAUAUAUAAUUUUGUAUGCACACUGUAUAACUCACUUUUAAUAAUGUGUAAUUAUAGAACAAAUUUUUGUGAGUCCACACAUGAUUUGAAAAAUGAUGUGCAAGAUGAAAUAUGAACCUUAUAUAUUUUUUAAUGAAAUCUUGGCCAUGAAUCUUCAUGAACCGUUCAGGAGGGGAUCACAUCCGGAUUGCUUGUGCGGUUGAGUAACUAUACAGAAAUUCUUUUUUGGGUUGCUGAGUAUCUUAGGAUGAGUAGAAUGAUCGCUUAGAUCAUUAGAGAUGAUUGUUGAUGUAGUAGGGGAAGAUUCCCUUUAUAAAACUAAUUUUCUCACGAUUAAUAAGAGGAUAAAUGUUGCCCAAUUUUUUUUUUAAUGUGUAAUGAAAAUAUUGGCCAUGGUCAGGAAGACCUCCUUAAUUAUAAAAGUUUCUUGAAUUUCAUCAUCCAAUCUGUUUAAGCGAGGAUUCUUAAAUGCUAUUUUUAAGCAAAUUGAUUUUUGUAUUAUAUAUACUUACUACUCUUACUUCAUGCCUUGCUUCAAACCCCGCGUAAGUUUUAAUUCAGCACAAAUCAGAUGGCGAAAGUAGAAAAGCUAGAGGACAAAUAAAACUACAUAAGCUUUUUUUGUCAUCAGUGACUCAACUGAUUUUUCAUUGAAAGGGCCCUAAGGCUUCACGUUCUGGGCCUGUGAAAAAUUGGAUGGUCUGGUGUGUGCAAUGCACGUACAUGGAAAUUUCGAACUGGUGAUACUUUUCAAAAAGAGUUUUUAAAUAGUAAAAGUUCUUAAACAACGCAUUCACUGAGUGUGUGAAUAUGUCUUUUAAAUAACAUAUUAAUAAAUAUGUCCUUUAAAAUAAAUUGUCUACACAAAUAAAAGAAUGAAUUCUGUAAAUGUGUCUUUUGAGAAAACAAUACAUUUACUGAGUACGUUUUUUCACUCUCCGGGAAGAAGUUUAAAAACACCACCCUUUGAAAGGUAAUUUUUAAAAAAUCCCACUUUUUGACAAUUUACUCAAACUUUUACUCGACAAAAUGUGUUGGGAAAUUUGUGAGGUCAGGUGAAUUGUAAAACCGUCGUGCCAUCGUAAUGUAUGUUUUACACUAGAUUGAGUAAGAAUUAUAUCAAAACAGUCGGCCACAAUAUAGGAAUGUGAAAACUUUAUGUCAGGUGAGUUGUAAUAUUUUUGUAUCAUCUAACGUAUAUUUGCAAAAGAUUGAGAAUAUAAUAUAUGGAAGGGAAAAGAGUCCCAAUGGCCCUCCAACUCUUUACCAGGUAAAGUUUUAGCCCUCCAACAAUUAACGGUAAAAUUUUGGCCCUCAAUCUAAUAAAAUAGAAUAUUCGUGGCCCUUCUGUCAAAUCUAGCAGUUAAAUUUGACGGGAAGCAUCAUCUUGCGAGACGUACCCACUAUUUUCCAUCCAAUAAUUUCCACCCCUUUUGCUCCAAAACCCUAGUGCGAAAAAAUCGAACUAUUCGAUCCGGAUGCUGCAGCAAAAGUGUUAAUUGCUGUGCAUCAAUUGGAACCAGAUAGUCACAAUUCAUUGCUUGCUCUUGGUCAAUCCGAGUAUUCUGCAGUGCUUGGGCAUCUCAAUGUCCAUACGCCUUCACAAAACUCAAAUUUCCCACCAUCUGCAUCUUGGGCUGUUGGAGGUAAAUACAUAAAAUGGAGUUCAGGUUCUGAAGGUUCUGACAAAGUACUUGCGGAAGUGCUAGAGUACCUUGGUGUUCCAAUAAAUCUCAGACAUACCUUUUUCCUUGUGUCUGGAUCAACCAAAGGUAGUCUUUAAUGGUUGACAAGAAGAAUUCCAUCCAAGGACCCACCAUCACAUGGCAGCCCAAGUCCUAAGCCUGCUGCCACUGAUGCACUAUCAGACUCAAUUGCUCUCCCACUCCAUUCCUACUGCCCGCUGGAAGCUGAUGCCGAAGAAACAAUUGCAGACAUGGAAGCUUGUGGUGCAGGCGCAUACUGCCUACGGUCUUGCCCUGCUGUUCCAAAAAUUGAUGAAUCGUGAUUCGGCAGCUGCCAACAAUUUCCACCCCUUCUGCUACUUCAAGCCUCAAAUUUAUAAUUCAGAUCUGCAAUCUUGAUGGGUCAGUCAAAGCUCUCCCUUUCUAGAUUUGCAGGUUCCUCCUUUAGAGACUAAAAUGCCCUUGAUAUUUAGUCGUGCAUCUCACGAGAUAAUGCUUUCCGUCAAUUUUAAUUGCUGGAUCUGACAGAAGGGCCAUGAAUAUGCUAUUUUAUUAGAUUGAGGGCCAAAACUUUAUCGUUAAUUAUUGGAGGGCUAAAACUUUACCUGGUAAAGAGUUGGAGGGUCAAUGAGACUCUUUUCCCUAUAUGGAAACAAUAGAUCACAAUGUUGAAAUGUCAAACCUCAUGUUUCAAAACAAAUACUUGGGGAAUUAUUUGCCUUUUCUUUGGAACAAUAUUAAAAUGUAGCCAUAAAUUUAAAUUCCAAAAUUGUUGAAUACUUGGGGAAUUCUAGCAAUGGCACUGGGAGUCAAAGUUCACCUUAUUCAAAAGUCACCAGACAUCUCAGAGUUUCAUGUUUCUAUUGAGAAUAUGUAUCCAUUGCCACUUUUGGCUGAUCAACCAUGACUAAGAGAAUUAAUUGAUUUGCUUGCACUUUUUGAAAAAGGAUUCAUUACUCUCAGUAGUCUAUAAAUUUUCUUAUUUCUCACCACUAAACCUCUUCAAGAACAACCAAAACCUUCUUGGAUUAAAUCCCUCUUGUUCUUAAAGAAUCAUGGCCCCUAUCACUUAUAGCUCUGAGAUGACCUCCCCAAUCCCUCCAGCUAGGUUGUUUAAGGCCGCCAUCCUUGAUGACACCCUUCUUCCCAAAAUCCUGCCACAGGCCAUCAAGAGUGUCGAAAUCCUUGAAGGAGAUGGUGGAGCUGGAAAAAUUAAGUUGAGCAAAUUUGGUGAAGGUUAGAUAUUAAAUUCAACAUGAUUAUUUUUCAUAACAGUUGAAUUCAUUCAAGGGAUUUCGUUAAUGUUGUAGUGACUUAUCUUUGGUAGAAUGUAAAAGCUAACAACUUCUUUAUACUUCGAUAUUCAGCUAACAAAUUCAAGAGUGCCAAACACAGAGUUGAUGAACUUGACAAAGAAAACUUCGUUUACAGCUAUAGCGUAAUUGAGAGUGAUGCAUUGAAAGAUGGAAUUGAGAAAUUCACCAAUGAGGUCAAAUUUGAAGCCUCCCCUAAUGGAGGGUCAAUUUGCAAAACUAACAGCAGUAUCUACACCAAGGGUGAUGUCCAGAUCACUGAGGAAGAAAUUAAGUGAGCAACAGAAAGGGCAUUGGGAAUGUUCAAGGCUGUUGAGGCUUAUCUCCUUGCCAAUCCUGAUGACUACAACUAAUUAAUCAAGCUAUUGCAAGACUCUUCCACACAUAUUUGCUUACUGUUGUUUUUUACGAAAGCUUCAAUUGCCUUAAGCUGUAUGGUUGAAUUAUUUUGGAGCUCUGAUCAUAAUAUGUGAUCAAGGUGUGCUUUGCUUGUAUUUUUGCUUGAUCACAGAGUGUGAUCUUGUUUGAUGCUUUUUCUUCGUUCUUGUGCUGCAACAAACUGUUUUGAAUUCAAUUUCAUAUCUCUCAUCUUGAAGUCCCAAGAUUCAAUGGGAUUGGGAAUUCUUACCAAUCAGCAGCAUAUAUUGGAGAAUCGAUAUGGAGACACGAAUUACUAUCAUUUACGUGCUUGCAAAUACAUAUGCUUAGUGCGAUAAUGAAGAUUAAUAAGUCUUAGAAAUGCCAACACAAAUGAGUCGCAGGGAUCUUCUUGUUUAGAGUUAAUUCUAAAAUUUCAAUGCUACUUUACAGUUAUAUAUAUGUCAAUGUCAAAAAAACCACCUUUUGUCAAAAGAAAAGAGAAAAGGGCCAACUCUACUUUACACGCCUAAUAUUUUCUUUAAUUUUCUAAAUCAUAAUUGAUUGUUAUUUUCGACAUUUUACACCCUAAAUUAUCAAAUUUUCCGGACAUUCUAAUUGCUUUUACUAUUGAAGAAGUGAUAGAUAUACAGAUGCAGGUUUUCAAUUUUUUUCCCAUUUCUGGAUUCGCAAGAGACAGUGUCUAACUUUUAUUAUUGAUAAGUAGCAAGAAUUGCAGCGUACAAGCACACAUCACUUAUAUUCUUCUUAAUUAAAUUAUGUAAGAGAGUAUGGUGAUCGAAAUUAAUUUAUUAAGUUUAUUGUGCUAUAAGCCCAAAAUAAAAGCUGGAGAUGUAUUGUAACAACAAUUGGUAACUUAGGCCACAAAUGAUCGAAAUAAAUGUUGAAGGUGUAAUAUGAGAUUAUGGAUUCAAAAUAUAGUUACUCCAAGGAGAAAUUCUUGGGCUAUAUGUUUCUUGACCUCUAGAAACUUAUUUAGAGUCAUUUCUGUCUACCUCAAAAAAAAAAAAAAAAAAGUCACUUUUGUCAUUUGUCCAAGAUCAGUUCUGGGGCCAUCUCGACAGUAUAUAUUUUUCUUACAUGCCAAGACAAUUAAUGAAAAUUGACCAAUAACACACCACGCGCACACACACACACACACUCUCUCUCUCUCUCUCGCGGUUGCUGCCAAGUCUUUCCACUGAAAAGGAAAAUUCAUAUUGUUUACAUAGAUAAAUUACCUCCAGUCCAUGGAAUGUCUUGAUGUUAGGUGAGUUCUAAUAUUUUGGUAUCAUCUAAUGUUCAUUUGUGAAAGAUUGAGAAAUGAUAAAGAGCAAAACACCAAAUUAUUCCAUAAAUUAUUUUGCUAAAAUCAAAAUAGUCCAUAAAUUUUCUUUUGGCCAAAUCUUUGUCAUGAACUUUCAGAAACGGUUGCUUUCUGCAACCGUUCGUGAGGGAUUUCAUCCGGAUUGCUUGUGCAGUUGAGUAACUAUACAGAAAUUCUUUUUGGGAUGCUGAGUAUCUUAGGAUGGGUACAAUGAUCGCUUAGAUCAUCAGAGAUGAUUGUUGAUGUAGUAGAGGAAGAUUCCCUUUAUAAAGCUGAUUUUCUCAUGAUUAAUAAGAAUAUAAAUGUUACCAAAUUUUCUUUUCAAAUGUGUAACGAAAAUAUUGGCCAUGAUCAGCAAGACCUCCUUCAUUAUAAAAGUUUCUUGAAUGUCAUCAUCCAAUUUGUUUAAGCGAGGAUUUUUAAAUGCUACUUUUAAGCAAAUUGAUUUUUGUAUUAUAGAUACUAGGGGGGGAGGCCCGCGCAAUGCGCGGGAGUGGGGUGCCUGUGGGUCGCGCAAUGCGCACUCCAUAAUGCGCGUGGUGAGAUCUAUCUAACCUUCGUAAAUAAUAGUGAAGAGAGAAAAGAUGGAAGUUGUAACUGAGAAGCCGUACGAAAAUAAUAGAGAACCACAUCAUAGUAUUAUAAAAAACCAUAGCUUAGAUCAGGAUGUUUGAGUUCAUGACCAUACGGACAGGGAUAUAGGCCCAAUGAUAGUUUCAGAUUUAGAUUAAAUGCUCAGUGGCUCCUUUUCUAAGAAGGUAUAAUAGACCACCUUGCACUUAACCUAAUUUGAAACAGUCUUAUUUUAGAUACUUCUAUUUACAUAGAACAGAUAAAGGAAAAGUUCAGCCAAGUUUGUCCGUUAAAGUAGUAGUACUUAGGAAUAAUGAAGAUCCAUUCGCAAAGGAUAUAACUUCAAGGAUGGGCUUUGGCAGUUUAGGUGCGGUGUUUCUUAGUGGGGUUGACUCUGAGUUUCAUUGGGGCUGCUGCAACUGCUGCCUUUUUCUUCUUAUCUUCUGUGUUAGAAGGACUGAGUUGAUCCACUCCUUUGCUUUGUGUUUCUCCUUCCAUUAUGCUAUCAACUUUUUCUAUUGCCAUAUUUUCAGCCAUGUCGGUAACAUUCUUUUUGGAAUGUUCUUCUUGUGCUGCUGCCCAAGUGGAUGCUGUAGCUUUGUAGUUGGUGAUAUAUUUGCUGAUGACAUAGUUUUCUUCUGCAGUAGCAUUGUUGAUAUGGGCAACUAUGGCAUUGUACUUUUCUGAGCUCCUGGAACUGUGGAUUGUAUUUGAUUUCUUGACCAAGCAAACUAAGUUUUUCUGCUUGAUGAAAUCUGCUAUAGUGGCGUACUGGACAUUUCCCUGUAGGAAGAAUAGAGACUUUAAGUAUUUAUUUGAAGUGAGCAGAAUGUUGCAAAGUAGUUUUGAGUUCGAAUGUACCUGCUGCUCUUGCUUUUGGAUGUCACUUAUGCAGAAUGGGAGGAGUUGUUCAGCAUCAUCACCACUCAGGUCAAGAGUUAUAGCACCACUCAUAUCACUAAUUUGCACUGUUAGUCUGCAGCUGUUUUUGGGUUCAUGUUAUUAGAAGCUUUUUUGGCAGCAGGGGUUGUUAAUAUUAGAUUAAGGUAUAUGUUUACCGUGGAGUGAGACGGAUGCGCUGGUAGCAUGAAGUGCAGGUGAUCUCGCAAUCUGGCCUUGCUCUGAUGUAUUUGUAGCAGUGGGGGCAUGAAUGGUACCAUAGCUUUUGACUUCUAUCUAGAAGUUUUGGUAUGCCUCUAAUCCAAUAGGGCCUUGCCUGCAAUGAAUGAGCAUUGUAUUAUUACAAAGGCUCGGACAAGUAUACCAAGUUUGCUAAUAGUAAUAGAAGUCAAAGUAGAUAAUCAAUUUUGUAGCACUGUUAACCUAUUGUGUUAAGCCAUUUGUUAACAUCUAGUACGCCAGGCAAGAAUUGUAUUAGGCCCAGAAGACCCUCUUAUAAAAGAUAAUGCAAAGCAUAUGAUUCUUGAAUUUCACAUGGGCGAGAGUUUCAUAAUAAAACUAUAGAAUCCAUCAAGCAAUUAAAAAGAAUUAAAAAGCUUUACGCUACAGUGAGGUUCACAAGAGAGAAAGUACAAUUUGACAAGUAAGAUAAUGAGUAGGGGAAAAAAUGGUAAUUACGCAGUAGCAUUAAAACACGAAAUUCCACCUACAAAGUCACAGAGAUGCAAAAAUACGAAGAAAUGGGACAAACAAGUAAAUAAAAAAUUACUGGGUAAAAUGGGAAAACAGGAGCUACUAAUUUCAUUAACGAGGACAAAAUUACUGGAUGAAAGCCCGUAUAUCCGGAAAAACCAAAUGAAAGGGAGCAUUAAUUAGUUCUACAAAAACGUACAGAUACAAUGAAAACUAAACUGAAGACAUUUUUGCCCAAAACAUUCAAAUCUCAUUACCAAUCAAUCAGGAGAGUAGGGAAUGGUAGUUCAAGCUUGUAGUCAGUAUAAUCCAAUUCGAUAACCCACAAGCCAAUUUUGUAAUGGAAGAGACUACAGACUUUUUGGCUGUUGGCAUGCAUGCAGAAAUAAAGGAUUGUGAGUGAGUUGUAUAUGUACCUCAACCACAGCUGUGAGAUCGCUGAUAGUUAUAACUCUGUCAUCAUCUGGUACAGGUAGGAGUUUGAGACGAUCACCAUAAGUCCGCUCAGCAAUGAAACGCGUGAUUUCCUCUUGAUUGUGACUGCACCUAAUAUUUUAUUUGUUGUAAUGUAAAGGAUAGUAAGCCUUUUUGGUAAUGAAUGUUGAAUAAUUUAUAAUGUAACUAUUUUAAAGUAAAGUUACCAGUUACGCAGGUCAUUGGCUUGCUGAAUUGGAGGAUUGAUUAGUAUGCUGCUGGAGAAUUUGGUGGAUAGAUGCAUGGCUACAAAGUUGACAAUAGCAACAUAAGUUUUUCCUUUUCUGGUUUCAGUCAACUUAGGAUUUUUGUAAAUGGUUUUUAAAAGAGUACGUACCAUGGUAAGAUGUCACUCGGACUCGAAGCGCUGCAACCACAGGUUGGGUGUGGAUCAUAUCAGCUAUGUCUUGUCCCUCUUCUGAUUCAUGCUCUCCCCAAAGGGUCAGUACCAUUGGGUGCGACAUAUGAUCUGUAAGAAUGAUAUCCCUAGUUGGUGUUCCACCUCUGAUUGCUUUCGGGUGCACGUGAAUUGCUAUUCCAAUAAGAUCUAAUAACCAGAGUUUGAUAUUAAAAAGUGUAACUAUGACUAUGUAAAUUAUAUGUUAAGGUAAAUCAGGAAUGGUACCUAUUUCAUCAGUUGUGUCAAUGUGCUGAUAAACUGAAUCGUAGUCAGCAAAGUUAAACACAUUAGGUAUCAGAGGGGGGUCCACUUCAUCGAUUUCUUGGACAAGCGUGGAGUUGUCAAUGGUCCAUGAGCACUCAUUUGGGUACGUACUGUACCUUGGCAACACAUUUUGAAUCCUAGCAUUCGAUACAUAAUAUCUUCGAUAUGGUUCAAAGUACUUCCUGAAGAACAUUAUAUCUCCAGCAUAAAUUAGAGCUUGAGCAGUUUGACCCUGUAAUUUUGAAUACAGUAAGUGCUAUGGUAAUUAAUUAGUUGUGUAUAGUGCCAAAGUAUGCAAUGAUAAGCUAUAUUACCUGACUAUCAACAAACACCAACUUUUGGUAGCGUUUUCCAUUUCUUGAAACCUGAACCUUUUGCUUUUCAAUCACUUGAACAAUGGCAGUCCAGUUGUCCAUGAGAGGUUGGAGUUCUGUGAAGUUUACCAGGUUGCUUUCCAUUUUUUGACGUUUGAAGAGUGCUGCAGACAACUACCACAAAAUCGAAGGAUUCCAAAGACAAGAGUUACACUCCGAAGUAGUAAGUUCAUAGAAUUUAAAUAUAAUGUAUUACUAAGACAUUUACUGGUACUUUAUUUGCUAUUUACAUAUAACAGAGUACUGGAAUUAUUGACAAGAUAGCUGCAAUACAUCCUUGUAAACUAUAUUAGGAGUCACAUAAUCUAAACUUGAAUCAUAUACAGGAGGUGUGAUCAAAAUUUUAACAGAUUUGCUAUUUUUAGCUCUAGAUAAUGCAACAUACAGCUGCCCAUGUGAAAAAACAGGUUCUCGCAAAUAAAUGCCAACAUAAUCUAAAGUUUGCCCUUGAGCUUUAUUAAUGGUCAUUGCAAAACAAAGUCUUAUAGGAAAUUGCAUUCGUUCAAAAGAUAUAGGAGAAUUAGGGUCAUUUUCAACACGAAAGCAAAUUCUAUGUAGAAAUACUUGCUUCCCAGCAAAUUCACCAGAACUUAUGACUGCAUCUAUAAUAUUGUGUUUAAGUGAUUUGCAUAGAAGUCUUGUUCCAUUACAUAGACCUUCUGGUGGGUCAAUGUUUCUCAACAACAUUAUUGGUGCAUUUUCUUUCAAUGUCAAUCGAUGUGGAGGAAAACCAUUUGGAGUGUGGCUAUUCAUGAAGUCCUCUAAAAUUGCUUGCUGCGAAUUAUCUAAACAUUUAUCUCUGCUUAAAUAGUCAAAUGGGGUUCCGGGAAAUUCCUGUAUCAAUUUUUCAUUGAUCUGAUCUACAAAAUCAUUUUUUGUAGUUAAAAUUGCUCUAUUAAUUAAUGAGUAUGUAUUUUCAGAAAAUAUGUUGAAGUUUGGAUAGACAGUUGUAAUCAAUUGAUUUAUGGAUUCUGCUUCAUUUGUAUAGCGAAGAAGCAAUGCUUGAGAGAUGUGAAUACUUUCAUUUUUAACUGUGUUUUCUGUUCCAUUACCUAUACGAAGAAGGUACUUGCUAAAAUCAGGAUCUAAUCUUGCUCUCAUGUUUUCCUUCAAUUUUAAUUUCUGCAGAUGAGGCCAAAUAUAAGAUUUUACAAGGCUAGCUUCGAUAAAGUCUGAUUUUGACCCUUUUACAACUACCGGCAGAACUUGCCUAAAAUCACCACCAAAUACCAUCACUUUUGACCCAAAUAAUUCAGAGUUAUCCAUUAGGUCUCUAAGUAAACGAUCUACUCCCUCAAUUCCUGCUCUAUGUGUCAUAGGCGCUUCAUCCCAAAUGAUCAAUUUGGCUUGCUGUAAUAACUUUGCCAAUGAGCUUUGUUUGCUUACUUUGCACAUGUUGUUAGGAUUCAUGUCUAAAGGAAUUUUAAAUCGUGAGUGGGCUGUUCUACCUCCAGGUAAGAUAGAAGCAGCUACUCCACAAGAGGCCGUUGCCAAAGCUAUACAUCCCUUUGAUCUAACUGCAGCUAGUAGUGCACGGUACAAGAAUGUUUUCCCUGUUCCCCCAGGCCCAUCAAUAAAGAAACUUCCUUUGCUGUGUAUAAAAACAGCAUCUAUGAUAGUAUCAAAUGCUACUUUUUGAUCCUCAUUUAAUUUAGAGAUAGCAGCAAUAUCUUCUUCAUUGACUUUAAAGUUUAGCUCAGAAUUUGUGUCUCUUGUACCUCUAUCCAUUUCAUCAAACUUUAAGAUUCGUGGUACUAAUCCAUACAUAUUAAUGUUUUUUCCCAUUGAUUCUAAGAACUUGCUAAUCUCAUAGAGAACUUUAUGUUGGACCUGAUCGUUUGACAAAUUCAAAGUUCUAUUGAAAUCUUCUGACAUAGAUUCUUUGAAUUUUAACCAUAAACUUCUUGGAUCAGCAGGAGUGAAGUAAACUAAUAGGGUAGCAAAUAGUCUUCUAAAGCUAUAUGGCAUGUGGUAUAAAGCUGCUUCUUCUAGGCACUGCUCUUGAGGGUUAUUGGAUUCAAAUAAUCCUCUCAUUAUUGCUGCUUCUCUAAAGGUAUUAACAUAAACACCAUCGACAGUUUUCAGGUCAUCAAAUGAUGUUGGCCCUUUUACAUUCAAUAACAAUAAUCUUAAGAAGUACCUCUCACCCUCACUUGGAUUUGCUGUAACAAUUCGGCCUAUUGAACCUCUUUGUUGCCUAAUAUCCCAUAUGCGUUUACCAGGUUUCCACACAAAAUGUUCAGGAAAUUCUUUGUAUGUGCAUUUCAAUGUUUUGGCUCUCUCAUCAGUAGCAUUCAUAUGGAAAAAUUCAGUUAGCAUACUUUUCUUAGCAAAUUUACUUUUCAAAAGAUCUCUAAGAUCAGCAUCAUCUUUGAAGGUCAGAGAUUGGUAAUUUUCAAGAUGUAGCUGAAGGUUAAUGACAGCAGGAUGUGUUUCAAAUAAGGGAAAUCUGUAAAUUCGCCAAAUGGCUUCAAUAGGAGAAACCCAUCUUGCUGAUUGGUACUCCUUAAUUUCAUCUAUCUCUUUAGAUCUGUCAUCUGAAUUCACAGCAAAGUGUAUUUUAUCAUGUCCCUUAUAUAUGUACUUAUAAGUAUACUUGACUACCUUUAUUGUUGAGCAAAUUUCAACAUUCAUAUGGCAAUUGAAUUUUGCUAACAAGUAAGGAUUAUAUGGAACUACCCAUCUAUUAUCCAAUUCAUGGCCUCGAACUUUUACCUUUUCUCUAUUGCUCCUCCGCCUAUAUGUUGGAUAAGAAUUUUCAGAUUGUGUAGUUUUUUCUGCCCACUGUUUAGGAUAAUGAUUUUUGCAUUUUUUAACUGUUGUACCUUGCAUACACACAUUAUCUGCAUUUUUUUCGCCACAAGGACCAUGCAUCAUGUGCUUGCGAACCAUUUUAAACAAGUGUGGAUGCUCUUUUUUGUCUGGAAUCUCAGCAGAAACUAUGUGAUCAUAGGAUUCCGUUGAAUAUAAUUUAGACGCUGGGUGUAAAAUUAUUAAGAAAUGUGCAUGCAGCAACCCACAUUUUUGGAAUUCAACAACAUAGGUGUAAGCAGCUACUUUACCCAAUACCUCUUUUUUAAACAACUCUUCUUUUAAAAUUUCUAAUUUGGCAUGAAAAACUCUAGCAGAAAGAUCAACACGGUUUUGAGACUCAUCAGUGGGCAGUAAGUUUUCUUUUAUUUCUGGCCAUGAUGGGUUACAAGUCAUUGUUAAAAAAAUGUCAGGUUUUCCGAAUUUUUGAACUAAGGCCAUAGCAUCAACAUACCUUCUUUUCAUAUCACGAGGACCUCCUAUAAAAGAUGCUGGCAAAAUUACUCGUUGCCCUACUUUUGAACCUCUACAUUGGCCCUCAACUACAGAAUCCAUGACACCCUGUAAUUGCUCAGUCCUAAUUUGUUGUUGCCUAUGCCGGAAAAAAUCAAGCCUUUGACUCUCAAUUUUUACGUACAUGUCCACUACAUACUGUUGAAAUGCACGGGCAGUAUUAAGAAUACUUGGUUUAUUUUUCUCCCUCAUCUGGAACCUAUAUGCAUAGUAUUCACGCAUGGACACAUUCUCCUUUGAAUUCUCAAAGUUUUUGAAAGCUGUUUCAAAAAAUUUUAAGCUUCAAUUUACAUUUGGUAAACUAAAAUUGUAUUCAUAAAAUUUGUAUUAUAUUUAAAAACAACUAACCUUUCUCUUCUGAUUCUAUUAUAUCUUCGGCAGAUCUGAAGCUUGUUAAAGUUGCAGUCUGUUGAUGAUUUCUAACUGACCUUUUCCUUUUUUUUGGAUUACCAGUGCCAGAUCUCUGAAUUCCAGGUUGCCACCCUGUUUCGCCAAAGGGAAAUAGAAGUGGAUACUGCAAUGGAUCAUAACAGCCAUAGUAAUAUUGAAUUCUACGGCUUUGACCCUCUUUUGUGUAUACUUGAAUGUGUCUAGCAUAGCUGUCCUGUGAGUUUUCACCUUCAACCCACAGUGCAGCUACUUGGGAUACUGUUGGCUUGUUAAAGACUCGCUGAUCAGUUUGACAGUAAGAUUUCAGGACUAUUUGAUAAUUGUUCAAGUCUGGAACAUGUCUCAGGCUUCGGAAAAAGCAGGCAUAAGGGUUACUUUUCAUGAGUUCCAUGAGUUUCACCACUAUGCUCUCAGUUAGUUUUGUUGAAAAAGCCAAUCGAUUUGCGAUUUCAUGUUCAGUAUCAUGAAAGUAUAACUGCAAAAACAUUCCCGAUCCUCCAUGGGGAAUCAAUUGAUUUAUAAAAUGAUACGUUUGGCCCUGAAUUUUGAAAGUAUAUAUUCCGUUUCUUCUUUGGCAAAGCGAUUUAUCAUAGUUAACUCCAAAAGAGGUGAAAGCGAACAUACUAUUGUAUGUUCUUACAUAGGUUCUGAAACAAAUUGCUUCUUCAGUUUCACCAGUAAAUAGCUCUAUUAAUAUGUCUGGCAUUUUAUUCUCUUCUAAGACUACUUCUCCAUCAGAGCAACAAAAGUUUGCAGACUCAGAAUAAAAUUUUUUGGCUCCGCAGUACUUGCAAUUCUGUUGCUCUGGUAAUCUAUCAGCUUCCAAGCUUAUCGAAGAUAAUGCCUCAAUUCCCGUCACCACCCUUUUAUGUUGUUUGCGUACAUUGUUUUGUUUCCUAAUUGAAGCAUUUUGGUCUUCCCCACAGCUUUUAACUACAUGAAUGGAUCAAAAAUGUCAUUAAUAUGAUUUUUAAUAUGUUGAAGUUUUACAACUUGUUUUAUUAUGUAGAAGGAAUAAACCUGAAUUCUGUUUACACCUUCGUCUUGACAUAUGUUUAGCUUCUCUUGAACGUUUAGGUUCAACUGAAUAUCCUAUUUAUGCAAUGGUGAUCAGUUUUUGUCAAUGGGAUCGCCACUGUUAUAUGAUCAACAAUGGUGAUCAGUUUGUUAGCUAACCUGUUAGAUCCUCCAUUGCUUCAGAAAGCAAGCUAUAGCAAGAGUUGCAGAUGGGUGGUUGGUCUACAAUAUUGGCAAAUAAGGUGAUCACUUUUAGCUAGUAGCUAGGGAGAAAUCUCGGUUGGUAAUGUUUGUUUCAAGAGGAAAGAAUAAUUAAACUUAGCAGUAGGAAACAAUAACUAAACCUGAAGAUUGGGUCGCUUUAGAAUGCUGACACUUUUUUAUCCGUCGAGCUGUAGAAGUAGAACCUAUACAUUUUCCACAGGAUGUUAACUAACAUAUUUUGUAGGUCUCUUUUAAUAUAUCUUUGGAUAUUUGUGAAUUAAAAAUGUUUUUAAUUCUAUGUGGUUCACCUUUGUGAUAUGUUGAAAAUUCUGAAACAUGCUCCUUCUGCCUUCGAUUACCUUCAACUUUGUCUCCAGGAACUAAAUAGAUUGUGAAAAUGUUAUGCCUAUAUGACAUCACAAUAGCCUAAAGGAAAAGGGAUUACAAAAAUAACCUGCCUCACUGUGGUGCUUAUGACCACAGUUAGGUUCCUGAAUGCGAAAAGCCUGCUGUAACAGUUGCUUAUUACUGGUGUGCUCAUCAUCUGAGCAUAGAGAUACAGGCAAAGGUAGUUUAGUUUACAGCCAUACUUGUUGGGAGUUAUUAUAGAGGUAGGUGGGCAUCUAAAUAUUCACUAUAAUGUAGUAUAUACAGCGCGAUACCUUUUCCUCUCAAUACUAACGAGGAGGUAAAAGUAGUCUUUGUCUUUUCUUUUUUACUUUUAUAGGUAUCACGGCAUUUUUUCCGUUGGAUUUCUUUCUGCUCCUCAGUUAAAGAGGCAUAUCUUUGUCUAGCCUUUUCGUUACGUCGAGCUUUUCGGUCGAACAUUUUAGAAGGAUCAAUGUUUCGAUUCAUAGUGGGUUGCUAUGGAAAUGUUGGGUCAACUAACAAAAGUGGUUGGAACUUGAGGUUUACACAAACUUGAACAAUUCGAAUGAAUCCUAAGACACAAGAAUGAAUCCUAAGACACAAGCUUAUUUGUAGUAUACUUCAGCACAGAUUCAGCCUACAAAUAUUAACCACUUUUUGCUACCGAAUGAACUGCAGCUCUUUUAAAAUAAGGAACAACUACAAUACUAAUUGCUUAUGCUUUCAUGUAUAUACACAUGUCAUGAAAUCUAUGAGCGAUGAAAGAGCAAAAGAUUUUUUAACUGUACUACAUAAUACUCAAAUCCAAUGUAAACAAAAGAAGAUUGCCAAACAAGCAUAAAUUGUAAACUAACGGAGAUUUCCAAGCAGGCAUGAAUUCAAUGAUAAACACAGUCCACAAAAUCAUUUUUAAAAAAAACAAAACAGCUAUUCCAGCAAGUUUGGAGAAAGGUCGAAAAUGAACUAACCUUUUUUAAAAAGAAACCGAUAAAACUUGAUCUUGAUGAGAAGAGUUUGAGCCUGCAUGACAAAAAAAAAUAAUUAACUUGGUAUGAAAGGCCGGAAUUAAUAAACGGACGAAGGAUGCAGAUGAGAACAAACACAUCAGGUCUAAGAAAGCAUGGUAAUUCUUUUUUUGAAAGCAAAAGCCAAAAUCAAAUGGGUAAAAUUACUUGUAUACGAAUCUCACCUCAAUUCCAAGGAAAUUCCAUAUCGGCGACCAAACAUAUCACAGAGAAACAGCUAUAUGUAGCAACAGAUUUAACACCAACCAAUCAUAGAAGGAAAGGAGAGAAACGGAAGAAGAUGGAAGGCUAUGCGUCUAGCAAAUGCGGAAGGAGGAGGAAAGCCAUAGGUGGAAAACGUGGGGGAGCUAAUACUUCAUCUGGUGGCUGUUUAAUAAUUAGAGCCAUUAAGAGGAAUAAAGUGGAAGAAGAAGCAAAUAAGCGGAAAUCAAACCUAAUCAGCCAAGGAAUUAAAGAAGCCCAACAUAAUAAGAGGAACAGAAACUGACAUGGGUGGCAAACAUGGAGAAAUUAAGAGACCGUUUAACAGAGGGAGGUGAAACUGGUGGAAGUUGAAUUAAAAACCUCUCAUAAUAGUCACCAAUAAUCAAAGGGGCUUCGGUGAAAUUUGCAAAGGGGCAAAUGAGAAAACGGUUUUGGGUGGCAGAGGAAGAGAAACAGGGGUCUGACCAUUUAAUGUUAGAUUUGAUUACUGAGGUCCCUUAUUCAGUGCCUAUUCAGUGCUGUGUAAUUAAGCUUAGCACCGGCCACUUCAGGAUUGGCAUACGAAGGAUUAUACUGGUGCAUUUUAUUUAGGAAUUAGUAUUCUACAUAUGGGCUCAUUUGGUAAUAUGAGCCCCUAAGCAAUUAAGAAAGGGACCCAUCAAAAUAAUAAGAGGAGAGCAGACUACAAUGGGUGAUAACGUUGCAAGCAUCAUGGAUAAAAUAGUCAUAUUAACACCAAUCAUUGCAUUAACAACUUGUACAAUAUCAGCUCAACAUCUCUACCUUGUCCAGUUGUCCACUCAAUUGACAACGAUAUCCAAAAAGGGCGGUUGAAACUUAAAGCUUUCUUGCACAACGAAGAUUUUCUUAUAUAUGUAUAGGAUACUUACUACUAUUACUUCAUACCUAGCUACAAACCUCAUGUAUGUUUUAAUCCAGAACAAAUCAGGGCCACGGGCCACCUUGCACAUAGCGAGAGUGGAAAAAUAAAACUACACAACUGCUUUUUUGUAGCCAGUGACUCAACUGAUUUUUCGCUCGAUAAUUCAUCCGAUUUUCAUUGAAAGGGCCCUAAGGGGCCAUUGGCUUCACGUUUUGGGCCUGUGAAAAAUUGGAUGAUUUGGUGUGUCCAAUGCAUGUGUAAGCACAAAUUUUGUUGUCUAAAAUAAAAGACAAGAAAACUUACACAAAUAUCAAAUUUAUUAAAUCAAAUAACAAGAGAGUUACAAUAUUUGAAAAUUCUUGAAUCAAAGAAAUUAAUCUCCUGAUUUUUCUCUUCAAAAGACUUUAACCGAAAGGCCAAAAAGGCUUGUUCUCCGAUCAAGAGGGUGUUUUCUAUGAUUUCUGUGUAAAAAACGGCUGAUUUGAUGAUGACGUUAAAUAUUUGAAUCUUUAAAUCUUCAACGCCGAUCGAAGGAGGAUUUAUUUAACUUGAUUUGGAUUUGGAUUUGAAUUUGAAUUUGAGGGAAAAAGCUCUCGAGAAAAUUUGUCAAAGUUUCUUUGAAAUUUAGGAAUUUUAAUGUAUUUUUACCUUGAGGGAAGACCUUUAUUUAGAAUCAGCAUAUGCAAGCUAUGUCUUCAAGAGAAUCCUUCAAAACCAUCUUGCGUUUGGGUAACUUGUACCUUAAGAAACCCAUUAAACUUGGAGUUAAAUAGUGGGCCGACCCAAAUAGUCAAUUGUGAAUUAACAAAUCAAUUAAAUCACUUUAAUUUAAAUGGGCAUCACAUUUUUUAUUUGAUUUAAUAGCUCAUAUAACAUUGGCUCAAUUUGUCAAUUCAAAACAUAAUGAACUUCUAUAAUUUAAUUUAAUUUAAUUUAAUAAAGAUCAAUUUAAUUUACUUAAUCUUGCCUAAAAAUAAAUUAAUAAAUUUUCGUUGUCUAUGUCCCCACUUCAAAACUUGGUGAGGCAUUGCAUGUUAAUUGCUGGAGGCAAGACUUGAAGUAUUAAUUUUACUGCUGACUUAAAGUCAAACUAAAUUAAAGACUUCAAGCGUUCGGCAUACGGCACGGGUGAUCCACUUUUUUUUUUUGCCCUUUUUCUUUGGGAAGAGAAUGGUCCACAUCAAUUGAAGAAUUGCACCUCAAAGUCCAAUUGAAUAGGCAACGGUCAAGGGUCUUCGCUUUCACCUACUACUUGAAUAAAGCCUUGAAGCUCUUGAAUUUUCCAACUCUUAAUUUAGUCGUCAAUGGAAGUGCAGCCCCACAAUAUUAGACCACAACUUUGACCCGUAGAAAUUAGAAACUCCCAUUUGAUUAUGCGAUGUGGGCUCCUGCGCAGAAACUCCCAGUUGCUGAAAUUUGGAGUUUGCUCUUACGUUUCUGACCACCAAAUCUUGUUUUGGCACUUGGCAAUAUGGAAUUUGCUGAGUUUCAACCCUUCCUAAACGGAACUCAAUGUAUUUCCAAAACCAAUGUUUGCAACUUCUGGAUAAGAAUAUGCCAAAUUUCAAGAGCAUCCCAAAUUGACUUCCAGCCAUUGAAAUUAUUCUUGGAACCAAAUUCAAGUGAUUUCCAAAAAGUUAAACGAUAAUCACUGAAUUUAGUAGCUGCCCAAAAUAUAAAACUUCUUAAUACUAUUCAUCUAAGCACCUUUAUAUAUAUAUAUAUAUAUAUAUAUAUAUAUAUAUAUAUAUAGAGGUACAGAAGACAUGUCUUUGUCUUGAAACUGUGACAAACAGGACACUUAAGACAAGGGCGUGUGAAGACUACCACACUUUUUGAGGGAAAAAAAAACCUGUUUUACACGUACAUCUUGAAGGUAAUCAUCUUUAUUGUCUUUUGACAACUUCAUGUUGGUCGAGUAUCCAAAAUGCCACAUUUAAGUGGUUUGCUUCAAAAAAUUCAGGCGGGUGUGUUGUGCAUCCGUUUGGUCCGGUGGUGAUUCAAUCCCUUCCGAGUUAUCCCUGAAUCUCCUUAGGUCCGGCCCCUCCCCCUUAGUGUAGAAUAGAUUAGAUUAUACAACAGUUGUCGUCUCCGGAAAAAAAAAAAAAGAGUAUCAGAUAUUCACCAAAUUUUGUUGAAAUCUGUCAAAACUUGAUUUGUUUCCAAUUUGGAGAAAAAAAAGAUUUUUUUCUUCGUUUCUGCAAUUUUCCAGGUCACUCUUUCCUAUCAACAUGUUACGAUUCAGAAAUUGAGACAAAUCUUGUACAUAGGAAUCUUUUUUAACAGCUGAUGGCUUGAAUUUAGCAGACACCUUGAAGUCAAAGAAGGCAACUAGCAUUCCAAUAGCAUUAUUUGGUUGCAUGCCAUAUCCAAGAUUUUCACUAGUAAGCCACCAUUUUCUUGCUUUUGAUUGUUAUUCAUUCUCUGUUGCGCAAUUUUAUUUUCGCACAACCCAUUUUUUUCUUUGAAUUUUCUCUUUUGCAAAACAAUGACCACCAAGGAAAGAUAGAAAGAAUUUUUUUUUUUUUUAAGGUUGCACCUUGUGUUGGCACCCCUUAUUUGAAGCAAGUUGAUGUUCCAGUUGUGUCGGGGAUUUUAGGGCCAUAGCUCUUAGAACUCAAAAUACUAAUGUAAUUUCCGCACUCCAUGACAUUUACUUCUUGUCAAUGCCAAACUCUCCUCUCUUUUUUUGUGAUAUGAAAGGAAGAUCUCUCGUUGCAACAUAUAUGGUGGACACUCAAUUUGAAAGAAGGUGCAACCACCAAUUCCCACGAGAGCCAUUUCAUGGUUUGAGAAGUAUAAUGAAAAUGAUGCAACCAAAAUUUUGAAGAAGAUGCAACCGCAAACUCCUAUGAGAGCCAUAUCAUGGCUAUCAUGGUUUGAGGAGUACAAUGAAGAUAGUGCAAUCAAAAAUUUGAAAAAGGUGCAACCGCAAACUCCCAUGAGAGCCUAUCAUAGAUUGAGGAGUACAACGAAGAAGGUGCCACAAAAAGUUGAAAAAUGUGCAAUCGCAAACUCCCACGAGAGCCUAUCAUGGUUUGAGGAGUACAAUGAAGAAGGUGCAACUACCCACUUCAAUGAGAGCUUACCAAAACUCGAGAAGCCCUUUCAUUUAACUUCACAUUGACGAUUUAUUACUUCUCUCACUGUCUUCGAUCACACCAUUGUAAUCAAAUUUUUUUCUCUUGCUUUUAUUGCAAGUUGGUCCUGACGAAAUGGUGAUGGUCAAGGAAGUUACAUCUUCAAACAAAAGGUACCUCCUUAUCACUAAUAGCCAUGAUGACUCUGCUGACAAAGGAACGAAAUUAUUGGUGCAUCCCUCUAUACAAGAAACUUACUCUGGUGAUUGGUUUUCUCACAAGUAUUCCGAAUUAAAGGAUUGGUCACUAAAAUUUUCUCAAGAUGAUGGUACGAAAGUUCACUCCUUGAAAUUCCUUAUCAUAAUAAGGAGCCAAGGAUAAUUGGCAGGCGAAUCAUAGAUGGAGACUAGGGGUGCAAACGAGCUGAGCCGAAUCGAGUUUUGAAGUUAUCGAAUCGAGUUACACUUAUUUAUAUGCGAGCUCGAGCUCGUCGAGCUCAAAAAAUGGAGCUCGAGCUCGGCUCGAUGUAGGAAAAGGAAAACUUGAGAUCGACUCGCUUAUGGCUCGCGAGCUUAGCUCAAAUUCUGGUUCGCGAGCAGCUCGAGUUUCGCUAGAUUUUCUGGCUCGCAUGAAGCUCGAAGUCAGCUCGAUUCUAGCUCGUUAGGAGCUCGAGUUCGAACUCGAAAACAGCUCGAUUUUCUGGAAAUUUAAGCAAGAAAACAGCAUUUUUGUCCGCAUAUUUUUGAUAAAAUUUGAGCAUGAUAACAAUAAUUUUUCACAUAUUCUUGAUCUUGAGGCCUACAAAUUAUGCACUAAUACAAUCAUAAAUGCCCAAAUGUCCACUAAUACAAAUUUUUAAAAUGUCCACAAAUGUCCACUAAUACAAAUUAUCCAAAUGUCCACAAGAAGUCUAAAGAAUACCAGCUUGUUGUCCACAAAAACCAAGGCAUGACAUGAAGCAAGAAUUUCCUGAGUGCGUCCUGGAACUUUACUCAUUUCUGUCUCUAAUUCCUCACGAUCAGUUAGUCCACCAACAUUGAACACUAUGGAUCAGCAAUGGGGAAAAAUCACUUUCUAACACACAAGAUCACAUACAACUCAUAUCCAACAAAUAUCCUAAAGUUUCAUGAGUAUAAUCACAUUAAAAGAGAAAAGGAUAUUGACAAGCAUGCUAAUCAAACUAUAUAAUAUAAGAGCUUUUAAUAAUUAGUCUCAUGAUACCAACAAACAUGAGUUAUUCAAUUUGACUCCCGUCAUCAAACAAGUAGCAGAAACCCACCAAUAAAAGGUAAUCCAAAAUUCAAUAAUAAAAACCUUAUCCAAAUUGCUCCAUAUGACAAGUCUGCUAACAAAUACAAGCUGACCUUUACUGAUAUAACACAGCAACAUGGUAGAGGCACCUAAGUGACCCAAGCCAAUACAUGAUUCCAUUACAAACCUCCACAUCUGGAUACAAGACAACCCAUCCCAACUAAUACCAUUUCAAAUUCUCUUCCCAGCCAGAGGUAAAAGAGUGUUUAUGUGUUCUGCAUACGUGUAUUGUACUUCUCACCAUAUUUCUUUUAGCCACAACUUGAUACUUUUCGUACUCUUCACAACUUAAGAUCAUUCAUUUCUUAUUAUAUCGAAUACUUUUCACUUUUCCCUCAUUGUUGCAGAGCUUCCAAUCAACGUUUAAAAACAAAAACAAAAAAGAGCUAAUUUUCUUCCCGAAUCUCCCUUUUCACACCAUCAAAAUGCAAACUUUUCUUUAGUUCAGCAGUAUAGGCAACAAAACUAAUUCAAGAACUAGCAGCAAUUAACAUUCUCACAAUCUCCAAGCUAUUACUUCAACUUAAAAAAAAUAGCGCAAUUAACAAACAAAAAUCUCCCACACAACUGCCAAUACUGUAAUUAGACAAACAAGAUGCAGCUUUUAACUCUAGAUCCAACCAACUGGAAUCCCACUGACAUAAAACUUGAAACACGCGAUCCACCGACACAUCCAUGCAGUAUUUCUAAGCAUAAAAAACUCCAAAAUCUCUGAAAGAACGGAGAAUACUCAAUCCAAACAAAAUUUAAACUCUAAAAUACUAUAGUUGGAACAAUUAGCCAUAAUUUUACGGCAGCCAUUCAACAAAUAACAUCAAACGACACAUUCAGUAGAAAGAAAAAGAAGCUGAGUACAUACCUACAAAAAUCUAGGAAAAGCUCAGUGGGUUGCGCACUUGCGCCGCUGGAAAAGCUUAGACAAAGCCCGGAGAUGAGAAUUCACCGGGAAGCUGGUUGGGUUCGGAAAGGUCAUCAGUCAGCCUCGAUAAAGUGGUUGGGUUCGGAAAAGCUGGUUGGGUUGCCUAUGUGGAGCUGGCGAAAGUGGCGGAGAUGGAGCUAGCAGAAGCAGCGAUGGCAGUGGCAGGGAAUUGGGAGUUUGGGACUUGGAAGUUGGGACUUGGGACAGUCAGCAGAGAAAGCUUAGAGGUUACUGAGGAGCUGGUGGAAGUGGUGGAGGUGGAGCUAGUAGAGAUGGCAGUGGCAGAAGUACGAAUUAGGAGUUUGGUAGUGCUAGUGGGACAGUCGGUCGGCGGAGGAAGAAGAUCGAUCGAAGGAAGUGAGGAAGGAAAAUUAGGUAACCUAACCUAAUAGAGGAAGUUGUAAAUUUUAAUUGAUUCAAGGGUAUUUUUAUAAUUUCACACUUACUCGAGCCUAACGAGCGGCUCGUCGAGCCUAAGAAACGAAGGCUCGAGCUCGCCUCGUUUGUCUUAACGAACGGCUCGAGCUCGGCUCGAGAUCGGUCAACACGAGCUCGAGCUGCUCACGAGCAGCUCGAGUCGUCAGCAGGCCUAAUGGAGACACACACUGGGGUGCUUCCUUGAGAUUUAGUGAUGAAUUUGGUUAUAUUGAGAAUUAUUGGGAGUGGUUGGAAGAUAUUUUUGGAAGAAACAAACAAGUGUUUCGUGAAAAUUACUUGUUUGAUGUCUUAUAUGCUUCGCUUCUCACAUAUAACAAAAAUUCUCAUGUGUUUAGAGUAUUUUGCGAGACAUGGUGCCUAAACACUAAUACCUUGCAUACAUCAAUUGGAGAAUUAUCUCUCUUACUUUGGGAUCUGUGUAAAUUAGGAGGACUUCCAAUUAUCGGAUGCAUCUAUGAAGAGGUGAUCCCAUCUGUAGAGGAACUAACUGGAGUUAAUGAAAAGAAGUUGAGGCAUAUUCCGCAAAAUUAUGAGUAUUUGUUCGCGGCUCUGCACCACCUUCAACAUGGAGAAUCCUACAAUUAUGGAGUUUCUGCUAGCCAAUAGUUUAACUUUUGGUUUAAAGGCAAAGUGAGGUAUUCAAAACCAAAACAGAGAAGGAUAAAGAAAGCAUCCAGUGCUUAAGCAACCCAAAAUCCAGAUGGAGAGAUUGGACAACCACGUAAUUUUUAAUUCAAGACAAUGACAUAUAUGAUAUCAUUGGAGACAAGUCUUACUUACGAGAAGAGACUUAUCUUGCAGCAUUUAUAUCUUGUUGACUCUACGUUUUUGCUCUACCAGAUGAGGACGUCCAUUAUAUUAGACUAUCUACCUUCAAAAUGGCUAACAUGAUGGCUGUCGGAUGUAAAACUUGCCUUACUAUUCCUGUCUUGCUGAGUAUCUAUCACGGAUUCAAUAAAAUUUCAAAUUCAUCUAUCCCAAGGUGUGCGCGUGCAUCUUUUCAGUGUACUACGUGUAUGCUUAACUGGCGAGUUAUUUCUCUACCCAUUAUUCAACUCCGAAUAUCAUGUUUGGACCAACAAUUAUCAAUUAUUCUGCAAAAGGUGUGCACAAUAUUUUGAUGAAAAUAGUGCUUGCGAUCUCAUUCAUCAAGGAGACAAAGUAACUUGGGGGACAACUUCUCUUGUGAAGAAUUAAAAUGAAUUUUUUGUUGAUGAUGGCAAGUUAGCGAACCCAGAACUGAGUUAUUUCGUAAGUGCUUGCUCAAAUUAUUUAGUCUUACAUGCUGAAGGAGAUUUUCUUAUUGAGCCAUACAGGUUUGCAAGGCAAUUCGGAUUUUAUCAAAACACCCCACAAGAACUUGGAGCAGAUGUUCAUUCUACAAAUUAUGGCUUGAGUCGAAUACUUUGACACAUUGCUAUUCAUAAUAAGAUAGAGUCAAAGGUACUUUUUUCUAGUUACCCCUUGAAUGCUAACAAGCAUAUAUCUCCAGAUUUUCAAACAUGAUGUUUUGAUUAAGAGUGUCUAACCAAAUUUGAAACAGAAGAAAUCGAAAGGAAAGAAACUUGCAAAUUUGAAUAAUCCUGUCAAGGUUGGCAGCAAUCUUGAGGCGAAACAGAAAAUCACCAAGACUAUGAGGAUUGAGGAGAAAGCGUUGCAGAGCUCCAGCAACAAGGUUGCUACUCAUGAAAUUCUAAUUUUCAAUGAAGAAUUUUCGAAUGGUAAUUCAUUUUGUCUUCCUUCAAUAAUUGUAAAAGCCACCAAUCAUGAGUCUCGCAAUUCCAAUGAAAAGAAGAGGAGCAACUCUUUUGAUAAGAAGGAUGAGCAAUCUACUAGCACAGACUAGCAUUGAAAGCAUAAGAAAUUCAAGGUAAUGACUCUCUUUGGAUGAUAUUGUUUUAGACCCUAAAGAAAUCUUUAAGGACAUUCUGGACAUAUAUGUGUCUGGUAUAAGUCAUGCCGAUAUUAUAAGAACAUUUUCUUGCCUUCUUUAGUUUGGCAUUUGAAAUUUACUUAUCAAUUUCAUAUUCAUGAUUUGUCUCAUAAUAUUUUCCUUGUAGUUGAAUGAUCAAAACUUGAUUUUUAUUGAAGAUGGGAAAUCAUGCUAAGAAUCCGUUGAAGGACCCACUACAUUUGAAUUUUUAACAAAACAAGUGGUUAAUUCUACUCAAUAAAAGGGUACCAUUGAAAAUUUCAAAAAGGCGGUGCAUGAUGAAAAUUCAGUUUAACAAAUCAUGCUACAGAAGAAAGAACAUGUGACUUCACCGGAGAAAAAAAGUUCAAAAUUUUUUAUCCACAACCGUAGCCAAGGGCACCUUAAGUGUCUGAAUUUUGCCCCCAAACUAUGAUCUUAACAUGUCAUCGUGAUUACAUUCAACUGCUCUGAAAUAAUUUGAAGGUGCUGAUAUCCGAAACAAUCCUGGAACGCAUUUCUGCUCUUAAGAUGAAAGCAAAUGAAAUCAUGGAGGAAAUGCAAAGUUUCAAUGCUAUGAAUAUUUCAAAUUUGUAAGGCCUUUUAAAGUCUUUCUUUACAAAAGCAAUUCGUUAUGUCGUAAUAAAGUCUUCUUUCUCAAAUAAAAUUUCAAAUGAAUCAUAUAAUGAGUUGUUUUCUAUAGCUACCCAACAUCUUAGAGAUGCUCAGAGUAAGGAGAAAUAAUAACCAAAAAAGAUCUCAACGUACAUGUUGAAAUUUAAAAAGAUUGACCGUGAGAAAAUAGAGCUAAGGAAAUGGUUUGAAUCUAUGGGUACUCAUAGGAUGGAAAUACUUUCACUGCUACAAAAGAAACAAGACGAGCUUACCUAAAUGCAAGGCAAGAUGGUCAACUUAUGAAAUGAAAUUCAAAAGAUUGAAGAUUCGCCAUCUUUACUUGUUGAGGAGAGCCAAACAUUAAACAAAAUGCAAGCACUACUUGAAAGCAACUGCAAAAAACUGUCAUCAUUUGAACUUUAGAAUUAGUUACAAUCUUUUACUUUUUUCAAAUUUUAUUUAUUGUUACUUGCCUAUAUUAUAUAGCCACAGGCAUAAUUAAUUUUUUUAUUUCACCAUGAAUCAUGAUUUUUUUUUAUUUCAUGAUUCUCUUGUGGAUAUUUCUUAAUUUCCUUUGUUGCUUUCAUUAACCACCAUUUUAGAUUAUCAAUUGCAAAAUAAAUAAUUCAACAUUUGCAUAAUUUUAAUCACAUUUGAAGAGGUAAUUGUCUAAAUAAUUGGAUAAUUUGAACAAUAUACUUUUAGGUGUAUGUUGCAAAGUAAUUUGAAUUGCCCUAAAGAGAAAAACUUUUUUUCUUUUAUUGCAUGACAUCUUUAUAGGGUUGUAACUGAAUUUCGAGGUUACCAUCUAAACUGUUUGCGUAUCCCAAAAGGGAAUAAAGUCACAUGUAGUUCCUACCAUUCACAGUUUAAUUUCUUGCAGGUCAGGAGUAUCUAUUUCCUUAUCACUUUAAACUUGGUGGAAUGUUUUAGUAGUUUAACCAUAAACUACAUUAUUGGUGAUUGCCGUCCACAGUUUUAACUCAUAUGGACCAAGAGCAACAUGCAGUUUAGACUCAUGUGUCAUGAAGCAACAUGCAGUUUAGGCUCAUGCGUCAUGUUGCCAUUUAUUUUUUUUAUGGCGUGUAUAAUCUUAAGAAUUUUUCAUUUAUGGGUCAACAUUUACACCAUUUUAUCAACUAUCUUGUACGCGUUAUUUGUAUAAACAUUUCGGAUAAUAUAUGGUCCAUUCUAUUUGGAAACAAAUUUAUCUUUAGUAUGAUGAGUCAUAACUAUUGAUUUUCGAACGGCAAACACCAUGUCACCAAUUUGAAAGGAAUGAUGAUGAUAGCUUUAGAAAGGUAAGCCUGAUAGCAUUCAAGAUUUUGUUGAGUUUCCAAUUUCUUUUCAUCUAAAGUUUCUAAUUCUUUAAGAAGCAAGCGAAUAUUUUCUUUCUCCAUGAGCCCCUAUUGGAUGGCAAUUUUCAGAGAAAGAAUUUGUUGUUCAAGAAGCAAGACAACUUCUGCACCAUAAACCAAGACAUAAGGGGUGGCUUGCAUUGGAAUUCUAUAUGUGACAUAAGGGGUGGCUUGCAUUGGAAUUCUAUAUGUGGUGCGAUAAACGCAAAGAAUUUCACCUAUCAUUUCAUGCCAAUCCUUCUUUGAUCUGGCCAUCACUUUUUUCAACAAGUUGCAGAGUUUUAUUGAAUGCCUCAACAAGACUGUUGGCAGGGACAUUAUACAUAAAGGACUUGCGAUGUUUGAAUUUAAAUUUCUCAUACAACCUAUCCAUUAAACAGUUGAAGAAGGGUUUCCAUUAUCAGUGAUAAUGCGUUGGAGAAUUUCAUAACGGUAAAUAAUAUUUACACGAAUGAAAUUCAUCAUAUCUUCUUUUCUCACUUGAGUGGUAUAGUUUCAUCCCAUUUAGAGAAGUAGUCGGUUGUAACCAAUAUAUAUAGAUGUUGUCCGAACGACUUAGGCAAUGGUCCAACAACAUGAAGGUCCCAGGCAUCAAAAGGCUAAGAAGUAAUAGUCAGAUGUAAUAGUUCGAGUGGUUGAUGAAUGUAAUUUGCAUGGAAUUUACAAGUUUGACACCUUUGAGCAUAUUCCAUACAAUCUUUGACCAUAAUAGGGCAAUAAUAGCCCAUCCUUUUAAUCCAAAAAUGCAACUUGGGACCGAAUUGGUGAGUUUCACAUAUUUCAAAAUGUGCCUCUUGCAUAGCUUGAUAUGCAUUAUCUUUAUUCAGACAGCGCAAGAAUACACUUUCAAAUGAUUUCUGAUAUAGUGUAUCUUUGUAUAAGAUGAAACGGGGGCACGACGAUAGAUAUCAAAUCUUUUACGUUGCUCCUUAGGUAACUUUUGAUACUUGAUAUAAUUGAUAACAGGUUGUUUCCAAUCUUCUUUAUCAACUUCAUAAGUUGAGACGACAUAAGCAUCACCUUCCUCAAUAUUUUCAUUAUCAAAUAAUGGUGAAACUACCCACUUUUGAUACACACGAACUUAUAUUUCAUAAUUUGGCAUAGUCAGAGAAGAAGCAAGCAUAGCUAAUGCAUAAGUUUGCUUAUUUUCUCUUUUAGGGACAUCUUCAAUACUUGUACCUUCAAGUUACCUUAUAAGUUGCGUUGCAUACUUGUGAUAUGGAAUUAAUUUGAAUUUUUUAACAUCAUAACUUCCCAAGGGUUGACUAACGACUAAUUGUGAGUUGCCAUAGAUUUGAAACUCAAAUUAUUUCAUGUCAACAGUUAUUUCAAGUCCGAAUAUGAGGGUUUGAUUCUUAACAACAUUAUUUGAACAACGUUGAUUUAGAAUAAAGGAGUAUGGCAAAACUUCUUCAUCAGAUGUUGUAAAUACAAUUUUGACUCCAACUCCAUGACGAUGAGUAGCACAUUUCAAUAAGGAGUACAUUUUCAUCUGGUAGAUCAUCACUUAACUCCCAUUCAACAAUUAUCAGGUGAUCAAUAAGAAAAUCUACUAGUACUUAACCCUUCACGGCCUUUUGGAAUACAUAAAUAAUUUUAAAUUAUUGUAACUGAAGGUACUAUUUAGCUAGACAGUUGGAUAGUGUUGGUCUACUUAUCACGUAUUUUAUGAAAUUUUCCUUGAAGAUGAGUCUCACACUGUGUGCUUGAAAGUAGUGUUUUAACUUCUAUAUUAUAAAAAUAAGAGUUAAACACAACUUUUCAAUCGGUGAGUAGUUUAAUUUAUUAGAGAUCAUAAUAAAUAAUAAAGGGCAGUUUCUUUCAUUUCAUUAUUUUCUUGUGCAACCAAUACCCCCACUAAACGUUCUUGGGAAACAAUGUAAAGAAUUAAUGGCUUUCUAUGAAUAGGUUCAAUCAAGACAGGCGCCUUCAUGAGAUAAGAUUUAAUGCUAUUGAAUGUAUUAUUGUACGCUUCAUUCCAUUGGAAUGGUACACCUUUCUUCAUAAGGUGAUUAAAUGGUUGACACCUUUCAAUUAAAUUUGAGAUAAACCUCCGCAGAUAGGUUAAUCGCUCUUGAAGGCUUUUUAUUUCUGAAUAUUGCGAGAUUCAGGCAUUCUCAAUAUAGCAUCAAUUUUGACUCGAUCAAUUUCAAUACCUCGAUGACAGACCACAAAAUCAAGAAACUUUCCUGAUGUAACUCCAAAUGCACAUUUGAGAGGAUUCAAUUUGAGUUGAUAUAUUUUCAACCGAUCAAAAUUUUGUUUCAAAUCCUCCAAGUGAUUAUUUCUUUUUUUUUUUAUUUAACAACCAAAUCGUCCACAUAACAUUUAAUAUUUUUAUGAAGCAUGUCAUCAAAAAUAUUUUGCAUUAAUCUUUGAUAUGUAGUUUUGAUAUUUUCAAACUAAAGGGUAUUACUUUAUAACAAUAAAUACCCUUAGGAGUAUGAAAUCUAGUGAGUUAUUUAUCCUCAGGUGUUAUUCGAAUUUGAUUAUAGUUAGAAAAGCUAUCCAUAAACGACAAACCCUCAGACCCAAUAAUUGCAUUAAUCAUGAGUUUGGUGAUGGGUAGAGAAAAAUCAUCUUUGGAACAAGCACUGUUAAGAUCCCUAAAAUCAACAUAGAUGGAAAUUUACCCGUUCUUCUUUCGUACAGGCAUGAUAUUUGAAAUUCAUGUGAAAUACUUAAAUUCAUGAAUAAAUCCAACUUCAGUGAAUUUAUUGAUUUCAACUUCGAUCAAAGGGACCAAAUCGGGUCUAAAUCGCCAUUGUACUUACUUUAUAGGCCGAACUCCCUUUUUAAUAGGUAAAUGGUGGACCGCUACUUUUGAAUUCAGACCUGACAUUUCUUUAUAAGUUCAUGCAAAAAUAUCUUGAUACUCUAGCAAGAACUCGACAUAUGCCUUCUCUUUAUCAGAAUUCAAGAAAGCACUUACCUAUAUAGGACAUGGGUCCUGUGAAGUACCAAAAUUGAUUUUUGAGGUCAUCUACAGUGGCCUUAACGCCUUUUUCAAAUUCAGGUGGAGCAUCUCAACAUCUUCUUCUUCUCCAAGGGAAUUAUUAUCAAAUAUGGUUAUAUGGUUGUAUGAAACAAUACUUUCUUCAUCAUCUUCCUUUGAUCUUGUUUAUACAAUAGUAUGCUCUCUAACCUUUAGUUCAGUCCCAUAAAUUAUUCUAAGAUUUGUACAUCUCCUCAUUCUUGAGAGAAUAAUGUUACCAAACUUAUAAAUGUUAUGGGGACAAUCAAAAGAUUCUUCAAAUUCUUUCAGUGAUUUUGUCAUUCUCCAUUUAUUCUUAUGAGAAUUUUGAGACUUUUAUUUUCUUUGUAUUCCUAGUCUUUUGAAGACGAAUACUCACAGAGCCUUAUCCCUAUUUUUAUGAAAAACUUGUGACUUCUUGACUAUUUUAGAAGAUUCAUCUCUUAUAGCAAUAAAUUGACUACCAGUUCUAUUGAAUGUGAUGCGAAUUGGUACAGGUGAAAAACAGUAAAUACCAGAUUUAGAAUUCUUAACAGCAUAUCCUUUCUCUUUCAGCAUCUUUUGAGUAAGAUUUAACCCGUAAGUCACAUCACUAGUGGCUUGAGGAGGUAAAGUGUUCAAUACCAGAUAUUUUUUGAAAUCAUACCCAAUUUUGAUAAGAAGUUUAUAAGCAAUAGAAUCAAAAGCUUCAUUAAUUCUUGACGUCAGUAGCAUAUCUUGCUUGAUGUCAAACUCUUUAUUAAGAUGAUCAAACCCUUUGAUUAAAGGCGAUGGUAUAUUCGUAGCGUCAAGUUUAGCCACAAAAAGAGUUAAUCCUUUCAGAGUUUUGUGUGGAAUUGAAGACGAUUGUCCUUGUCCCAAUCUUGACUUGAGAGGGUAUCGAAAGACAACUGAUUUAUUUUUUAACAAUGAGGCAUCAAUUUCUUUAUGAACUACCUCUUUUGAUUUUGGAAUCACCACUUUCUUCCUUUUGCAUUUCAUGAUUCGAGAUCUUGGAUUUUAAUCACAGAUGGAGAUUGUUCAAACUCAUUCUUUAUGUUAUAUUUUUGGAUGUAAAAUUUAGCAUUAGCGAUGUCCGCUUCUACUUCAGUGUAAAGAUUAUAAUCAGUUUUCACACUUUUUACCACUCCAUUUCGGUAAUACUUGAAAUAUUGGUGAAGAGUUGAAAGUACAACCCCAUUUUCAUGAAUCCAGGGUCUUCCCAGUAGCAUAUUAUAUAUUGUUUUAGUAUCUAUUACAUACAGUAGUGCUUUAGACAAUAUAUCAUCGAUAACUAUCUCUAAAUUUAACGAUCCAAUAUUUCUUUGCCCUCCUUGAUUAAAGUCUUGUAUUAUUAGUCAGCUUAUUGGAGAGUUUAUCAAUAGAGAUGCCAAAUUCCUUUAGAGUUUUUAAGACAAGGCUAUUGACAGCAGAACCUCUCUCUAUCAAAAUUUUAUUCACAUUUUACUUUUUAGCAUAAACAGUCACAAACAAAGGACGGUUAUGUGAUGUUGACCCAAAUAACAAGUCUUCACUAGUGAAUGUGAUAUUUGUGAUAUCCACCUCUUCAUUACCAGUAGGCACGUGAGUUAUCUCACAAGGAGAUUCGCGAGUAUCAUCCUUUGUUCUUCAAUAUCAUCAACUUGCGUUAUGUGACAUGAGACCACAUCAAUAUCAAAGAAUCUUUUAGACAUGAAUUCUUUUAAAAUGAUAGAAACUCGCGCCUUUUGCUUGAAUACUUGAUUUUCUUGAAGAUUGUGAUUAUUAUUAUUUUUCUCUAUGUUCUUCUCUUUUCUCUUCCAGACCAUUAUACUUCUUGUUAAGGCCUUGUUUACCUUAUUAGAUGGACAAGAGUUUCGUCUUUAUCUUCGCGUGAUCAGAGUCCAUCCUUCAUCAUCUACGUCUGAUUGUAACGACUUCUCAUCUUUAUAUUCAUAUUUUUGAAGAGUUGAAGGGGCGAUUUUUUGUUCAACUUCUAUAGGAUCAAAUGAUCCAAAUUGAAUGGUUGGCAAUAUAGGUAUCGUAAACUUUUCGACUUCCAUGGACUGUAGUGAAUCAACAGAGGUUUGAUUCAUACUUGCUUUGUUUUUUUCAAGAAAAAUUUUUCUUGUCUUGCCAAAUCCAUCAUCUCGUCUUUAAAGACAAAGCAUUUUUGAAUGGGAUGUCCAACCAAGCGAUGAUACUUGAUUUGGAUCAUCAGUAUUCCUAAUCUCGUCAGGUCGGUUCAUCUUAGGAAGCAUGAUCAAGUUCAUGCUUAACAAAUUAUCAAAUAUACCAGGAACAUCAGAUUCAAGGAAAUGGUAAUCCUUGUCUUGCAUCUCCUUGAGAGUUGGUUUUUUCUUUCCUUACUAUUGAUGCGUACUGGUUUUCUUGUCUUCUCUCUUAGCAGUUCUGAGAAUAAUCUUGAAAGGUGUUAUACUUGCAGCUAUGGCCUCUUUCUCACUUUUGAUUGGGGGCUUGCCUCCUUUUCUCACUUCUUGUUUCUCCUUAGCCUUGCGAGGAUCAGGAAUUGGCGGCUCUUGUCCAUCAAGGUUAAUUUCUAUCUUAUGAGUUUUUGGGGAUAAUUCAUCAAAUAUUUCUGGUUAUACACCUUACAAGAUGAAUCUAAAUCCCCAAUGCAUGUCUUGAAUACACAUCUCAAUAACGGAAGACUCGAAAAUUCGAUCCUUACAGUUUAGGCUCAGAUUUUUUCGAGCGAUUGAUGAAGUUAAUAAUAUGUUCAUUCUUUCACUAGCACGUAUUUUAGAGUUCAAUCAUACUGACAGUCCUUUUUGUGCUAUAGAAGCAAUUAAGGAAUUUCUACUCUAAUUGCUCCCAACUGUCAAUGGUACUAGGUUCUAAAUCUGUGUACCAAUCAAAGGUGUUACCCUUUAAUGAGUGAACAAAUUACUUAACUAGCAAAUCACCAUCAAUGCCAGCAUUGUUACAAGUUUCGACAAAGUGUGCAAUAUGUUGUUUAGGGUUAUCCUUGUCAUCAAAUUAUUGAAACUUUGAAAAUUGAUAUCCUACAGGCAUCUUCAAACUUUUACUCUUGUGGUGUAAGGUUUGAUAUAAUUGCUAUAUGACUUGGUAUUUUCACCAAUCUUGUCCUUGAUCGUACCUUGAUAAACUCCUUUAAAUUAUCGACAUGAAUGGUACUAUUAGGAGAGAUUGAAAACUCCUUCAUUAUUCGUGACUUGGUAUCCUUUUUCUCUUUCUCCCUUGAUGAUGAGUUACUUUCAUAUUUUUUACCAUGGCCAUUAGUUUGGCUAUUUUGACAUCUUGACUUUGCACGUGCCCUGCUAGCCCUUCGACAAUUUGACAAGAUUUGAAAUUUGAUCUUCACGGUUGUGGUGUUAGUCAUCAUGAUGGGCAUUACCACAGCAUGGACUCUCUUCUUGUUGGGAAAAAUCUCAAAAUUUUUUCUUUCAACCACAGCAUUCGCCUUAACCCUAUCUACUAAUUUCUUAGCCUUGCUCCUCAUCAUAAGUGUAGUAUACUGCAUCUUCUGAGUUGUUGGGAUGCCAGCAACUGAGCCUUCAAGAGCAAAACUCAUCUUCUUGGACUCCAUUGAUUCUUGAAACAAGUAAGUUAUUGAAAGAAAAGAGAUGAAAGACAGAGAUGGUUCCACCGGACGUGUCAUAAAAUUUGUAAGCAUAAAUUUUGUUGCCUAAAAUAAAGAUAAGAAAAUUUGCAUAAAUAUCAAAUUUAUUAAAUCAAAUAAUAAAAGGGUUAUAAUUUUUCUUGAAUUAAAGAUAUUAAUCUUCUGAUUCUUCUCUUCAAAAAACUUCAAUUGAAGGGCUGAAAAGACUUGUUUACCGAUGAAGAGGGUGUUUCCUACGAUUUUGACAUAGAAAACCUCUGAUUUGAUGAUGACGUUAAAUAGUUGAUGUUGGGUUUGGAUUUUAUUCCAUCAAUCGUUCAUUUUGUUGGAUUUGGAUUUUAUACCACCAACUGUGGGAUAAUUGGUGGGAUAAAACCCAAACCCAACAAAAUAACGGUUGGUGAGAUAAUACUCAAAUCCAAUAAAAUGAAUGAUUGGUGGAAUAAAAUUCAAACCCAACACUUGUAUCUUUAAAUCUUCAACGUCGAUAGAAGGAGGAUUUAUUUUAACUUGAUUUGGAUUUGAAUUUAAGGGAAAAUGCUCUCAAGAGAAUUUGACAGAAUUUCUUCAAAAUUUAGAAAUUUCAAUGUGUUUUUGUACUAAGAGAAGACCUUUAUUUAUAGGCAAAAUAUGUAGAUUAUGUCUUCAAGAAAAUUCUCCGGAACCUUCCUGCGUUUGGGUAACUUGUACCUCGAGAAACCCAUUUAACUUAGGUUUAAAUAGUGGGCCUAUUGAAAUAAUCCAUUGUGAAUUAAUAAAUCAAUUAAUCCACUUUAAUUUAAAUGGGUAACACAAAUUUGAUUUGAUUUGAUUUAAUAGCCCAUAUAUCAUUGGUCUAAUUUGUCAAUCAAAACAUAAUGGACUGCUAUAAUUUAAUUUAAUGUAAUGAAGAUCAAUUUAAUUUAUUUAAUCUUGACUAAAUAAAUUUUCGUUGUCUACAGCAUGUACGUGUAAAUUUCCAAAUAAUGAUACUUUUCAAAGAGAGUUUUCAAAUAAUGAAAGUUCUGAAACAAGGCAUUCACCGAAUGCGUGAAUGUGUCUUUUUAAACAACGCAUUUAGUAAAUACGUUUUUAAGGAAAAAUGCCUAUACAAAUAAAAGAAUGAAUUCUGUAAAUGUGUCUUUUGAGGAAACAACACAUUUACUAAGUACGUUUUUUCACUCUUUGGGAAAAAACACCACCAUUUGAAAGGUAAUUUUAGAAAAUCCCACUUUUUGAGAAUUUACUCAAGCUUGUACUUGACAAAAUAUGUUGGGAAAAUUGUGACGUCAGGUGAAUUGUAAAACUGUUGUGCCAUCGUAAUGUAUGUUUUGCACUAGAUUGAGUAAGAAUUAUAUCAAAAUAGUCGGCCACAAUAUAGGAAUGUGAAAACUUUGUGUUAGGUGAGUUGUAAUAUUUUUGUAUCAUCUAACGUAUCUUUGCAAACGAUUGAGAAUAUAAUAGAUGGAAACAAUAGGUCACAAUGUUGAAAUGUCAAACCUCAUGUUUCAAACCAAAUACUUAUUAAACUCCUUCAUAUCGCUAACGAAUUUUGAUUCUGAAGUAAUACUAGUUUUAUUUAAUUAUUUGCCUUUUUUGGAACAAUAUUAAAAUGUAGCCAUAAAUUUAAAUUCCAAAAUUGUUGAAUACUUGAGGAAUUCUAGAAAUGGCACUGAGAGUCAAAGUUCACCUUAUUCAAAAGUCACCAGCCAGCUCAGAGUGCAUGUUUCUAUUGAGUUUCAGGUUCAAUGUGUACCCACUUCCACUUUUGGCUGAUCAGCCAGGACUAAGAGAAUUAAUUGAUUUGCUUGCCGUUUUUGAAAAAGGAUUCAUUACUUUUUUUUUCUUUGAGCAUUGGUAUCUCCACCCUCAAUGAUACUAAUCUGGAUUCAAUAUAAGGAGUGUUCGUAGAGGCUGACUCUUACUCGGGAGUGAAGAUUUGACCCAGAGCUUUUCAAGGCGUCAUCAUGUGUAAGAGUCAAACUUACGAACUCUGUGCAUAGAUAAUUUUAGCUCCAGUUUGUGGAAUGUCUUGAAGUUACGUGAGUUGUAAUAUUUUGGUAUCAUCUAAUGAAAUUUUUAAAAGAUUGGGAAAUAAAAUAGAGCAAAACACCAAUUUAUUCCCUAAAUUAUUUUGCUAAAAUCAAAAUAGUCUGUAAAUUUAUUUUGAGUCAGUUUAGUCCCCCAACUAUUUUUACAAAGCUGAAAUAGUCCUUAAACUUUAUUAUGAGCCAAUUUAGUCUCUCAACUAUUUUGUUUAAGUGAAAUAGUACCUCACCUUUAUUUAUUUGGCCAGUUUGGCCCUUGUUUGACUGAUCCACCCAUUUUAUCAACCUUGUGCACUAACAAUCAGGGGCAACAUAAGAAAUUUAGUCAAUGCCCUUACUAAAAUGAUAGAAGAAAUGGAUAUCUGACAAAAAAUUAAAAACAAUAUUGAAUCAUACAGAGAACAAAAAAUAUAGUGUUUCUUAUGGAGAAAAAAAAUGGAGCUGAUGCCUAAAAUCUCACAUGGAUCCAACUCAGUCCAUUGAAUGGAGAAAAGGGAAAAUAAUACAACAAGAAUAUGCUAAAAGUUGGAAAAAUGUGCUAUAAUUAUGAUUACUCCUUUAACAAAUAAAGCUGAAAGAAGCCCAAUUUCUUUUUGUUUUCCAUAUUAUUCAAUUUCGUUGUCGAUUUUUUGAUAGAUGUAUGUUUUUUUAUUGUUUUAAUAAGGGCUAUGAUUGGAUUUCCUAUUAUGCCAUUGGUUGUCGAUGCUAAACUUGAUAAAUUAGAUGGAUCAUCCAAAUAAAGACAAAAUUGGCUAUGUAAACAUUAGUGAGGGACUAUUUCAGCUUAAGAAAAAUAGUUGAGGGACUAAUUGGCUUAUAAUAAAAUUAGGGACUAUUUCAGCUUUGUAAAAAUAGUUGAGAGACUAAAUUGACUCGUGAAAAGUUUAGGGACUAUUUUGACAUUAACGAAAUAGUUUUGGGACUACAAACAUUAGGUCACAAUGUUGAAAUAUCAAAACACAUGUUUGGGACCAAAACUCAUAGAACUUCUUCACGUCGCUAACGAAAUUUGAUUCUGAAGUAAUGCUAAUUUUAUUUAUUAUUUGUUUCCUUGCUGGUCUUCUGUCUUUUAGGUUACAAUAUUAAAAUGUAUCCAUAAUUUUCAAUUCCAAAAUUGUUGAAUAUUUAAACGAAUUCUAGAAAGGGCACUGAGAGUCAAAGUCUUAUUCAAACAGCCAGCCAUCUCAGACUACAUAUUUUUUUAUUAUCAGGUUCAAUAUGUAUCAGUGCAAUUUUUGAAUGAUCAGCCAUGACUAAGAGAAUAAAAUAAUUCACUUGCUGUUUUUAGAUAUGAAUUCAUGACUGUCAGUAGUCUAUAAAUACACUUAUUGCUCACCACUCUUUGCACCGCAAAAUCUUUUCAAGAUCCAUCAAACCCUCCUGUUCUUGAUCUUUGUCCAUUUGUGAAAAGACAAAUUAAAGCAUCAUGGCCCUUAUCACUUGUAGUGCUGAGAUGACCUCCCCAAUCCCUCCUGCAAGGUUGUUCAAGGCCGCCAUCCUUGAUGACCACCCUUAAUGCCACAGGCUAUUAAGAGUGUGGAAAUCCUUGAAGGAGAUGGUGGAGUUUGAACCAUUAAGUUGCGCACAUUUGGUGAAGGUUAGAUGUUAUAUUAAUGUAGAACCCAAAUUUUAAGGAUCUAAUAAUAAUCAAUGCGUGCAGGGUUACAGAAUUGGAGGGAUAAAACAAAUACUCAAAAUAUACGUGGAAGAAAAGAAAAUAAUAAAUUCAACUCACAAUAUUAUUGAAAUUUCAAACAAUGAAAAAAAAUCAUACCACAAUAAAUUCUGCUGGUUCUAAUAAUAAUCAAAGCAUACAAGGUUAUAGAAUUAAAAGGAUAAAACAAACACUCAAAAUAUAUGUGGGAGAGAAGAAAAUAAUAAAUUCAACACACAAUAUUAUUGAAAUCUCAAACAAUAAAAAAAGUCACACCAUAAUAGAAAACCUUGCUAAUUCUUCUAGAUUCUUUCUCUUGAGAAACCAACCUAAAUAAUGUCCUAUUUAUAAUAUACCAAACUUGUUAGGAAAGAAACCACUUGCAUAAGAAAUUACCAAAUAAAACAGAAAUUCCUAAAUCACACAACUACUAAAAACAUAACUCAAAUAAAACUAAAAAAUAAAUAAAUGUUUCUUGGCUUAGUUUAAUUUGUCAACGUUUCCUCCCUUAAACCAAACUAUCCAUUGAGAUAGGUUCAACACCAUCUCGAGCAAUAAUUUCUAUGUUGUAGUACACUUGACAUGAAACUCUAACUUGUUACCAGUUAUUAAUUUCAUUUUUACAUGUAACAGUGGAUGCACUAUGUAUUUUGUAAAAAAUUUCUCAGCAAUUUCUUCUUGAUCAAAGUACUCACUUAUACAAACACAUUCAUCACCAGAAUCACCAUAUUUACCACCAAUGUAAGUGCCUAAAAAUACAAAAUCAUAGAUUGCUUUCUCGCUAAAAUUAUCAUCACCAAAUAAUUCAAAAUAACCACUACUACAAUCAUCCAAAAUUUUCAUACUAUCAGUCAACUCUUUUGGAGUAAAAUAUUUUUCAACUCCGAUGACAUCCAUAUCUAUCAAAUCAAACAUUCUCCCAUCACUUUGAAGAGAGUCCGCAACCAACGAAUUUUUCAACAACAAUUUCAUGUUCUCUUCUCUUAUCAAAUCAAAAUUUUCUUCUUCUUUUGUCAAAUUACCAUUUUAUUUUUUUCAACAAAUUCAUUACUUCUAAUUUCUCCAAACAAGGUACGCAAAUCAAAACUAUCAAUUGAUUCAAAAUUUUCGAUAUCACCCAUAUUAUCAACAAAUCUAUCAUUUUUAAAAUCCACAAACUAAUUCCAACAACUAGACUUCGAUUUGAAAGCAUAAUUUCUCUCAAUCGUGUGCAAAACAUAGUAAAUAUCCUUCCAAAAUCUCUAAAGUAUUUUAGUACGACCAAUAAAGGUUUUAUAAAUACUUUCUGCCAUUAUUUUACGCAUCACUUGAAAGAAUAAUUGUGCCUUUUUCUUAAAAACAUGUUUUGCCAACUUACUUGCAUCAACCCAACAAAGAAUAUCAUCAAAAUUACAUUGUUUGACAUAUUUUUCCACUGUUAAAAUCCAACCAAAUAUGUAUGUCUAUUUGUGCUUAUAGGAGUCAAUAUGAAAAAUUUUUCACCGUGAAUCAGAUCUUUAUAAUAUUCCAUUAUUUAACAAUUUGUAUACCUGAAUAAUUUUUUUUCCUCCAUCCUGUCAUGUUUUCUUGGCCUCCCUGGUUGACUAACCAAAUUAUUGUUGUAUGUAUACCCAUGCUCGUCAAACCUCAUUCGUGUACACUUGUAAGGAGUGGUUCUGAGCUUAUUGUGAAUGCUCAGUACCAAGAAGUAGAAGAGAGAAUCCAUAAGAGAGAAUUAACUUGGCUAAAGAAUUAGGAAACAAUUGAGGGAUUUUUUAAGAAAUUAAUUCUCCAACUGCCACUUUUGGAAAUUUUCUAUCAACAACUGGUUACCAAAACACUAGCACAUAGUAAGAAAUCUGGAUAAUUUCAGAAACCUCCCUUGAGACUUUUAAUAAUCUCAAGAAGCUCCCCUCAAUAUUUUAAAAUUACACGUACCAUCCCUAUUGGUGCAAAAGUACUCUACUACCCCUAAUAGGAUACUCAAAAGAAUUUUUUUAUGGGAAAAAAGAAGGCCAGAAAUCCAAGCGAAAACAAAAAAAAAUCAAUUUAUUUUCUCUUUUAGCCUUUUACGCUUUUGCCUUCUACCUUUGCUCACUUUCCCAUGCCAAUCUUCCUAUAACCACUUUCCCCAACUUUUCUCCUCUACUUCAAGACCAAUUUUUGUCCAUCAAUCCUGGCUUGUGCUUUGUUCCAUUCCCUUCCCUUCUCCUUCUUUGAUUUCCCCUACAUCUCUCUUUCUCUUUGCAAAAGUGGCUAGGCUCAUCUCUCUCCUUUUUUUCCCCAUAUUUUAAGUGUAGUGGGUUUGAUUAUUUUGCAUCUAUUUUAUUUGAUUUUGGUUGAUUAUGGGUGAUAAAACUUGGUGAUGUCACAUAUUAAAAGUUUGAUAGAAGGAUAUUGGGCUUUAGACAAUGAUUUGCUGAAAAAAAAUGGCCGCAAUGAGAGGAAGAGGCAAGGGGAUUUGAGUGUGGGGUUGAUUGUUGAUGAAUUGUUGUUUUGGAAAAAAUUUGAGGUUGAGUUUUAUCAAAUUUGGUGGCAAGUGGCGAGAUUUGUUCAGGUUGCGGGAAAUAAAUUGGAUUGUGGUUUCUUGGGCACCCACAGUCGUUGGAAUUGGUUUUGAUUCAAAUUAGGGUGGUUACUUGAUUUUCCUAAUAGUGUUGCUUAAAAGCACACGAUCAUCAAAAUUCCUUAUUUUUAUCUUUUAUUUUUUUUGUAGAAAAGAUUUCAUGACUUUCGUGAUAGUCUAAUUUGGAAGAAGGCAAUCAAGGGAUGCAAUCAACAUUUAGCAAAAGCUCUUGUUCUUUUCUUUGUAAUUUUUGGGGUAAAAGGGGUAGUUUAGGGUAUUUGAAGGAAAUGAUAGUCUAUUGGGUCUAUUUUGAAGCAUAAAUAGUGAACGUAAGGGAGGUUGGUGUUAUUUCUGAAACCUAAGGGGAAUUGUCUGAAAUUGUUCGAGACCUCGGAGGAGGUUUUCAAAAUUAUCCGUAAGAAAUCAAAUGCGAAACUUGAUUAGUACACGCACACACGACACUGCACCACGCCAUGCGUGUGUUGAGGACUGAUGUCCGUAACCAACGACAAGCAGGUUUUCAAUUUUUUUUUCCUUUCCUGGAUUCAGAGAUGGUGUCAGCUUCUAUUAUUGGUGAGCAGGAGGAAAUCCACAAUAUACAGUACACAUCACCCAUAUUCUUUUUAAUUGAACAAUGUAUGAAAUUAUGGUGAUUCGAAAUUAAAUUAUAUGUUUAUUGGGCAACGAAUCCAAAAUAAGAGUUGGAAAUGUAUUGUGACAACAAUUGUUAACUUUGGCCACAAAUGAUCAAAAUAAAUAUUUAAGGUUUAAUAUGACAUUAUGGGUUCAAAAUAUAGUUACUUGUUAUGAAACAACUAAAAGUGCAGAUGCCCAUUUGGAUUCUCAAAAGGAUCAAUUCAUAAUUCAUUGCUCCCAAGAGGAUUAAUUUAUAAUUCAUUGCUACAUUAUGUAAAGAAAUUACAUUGGAUGAACGGUUUCAAUCCAUAAGAGCUAUUCAUGUAUUGGAUGAACCGUUUCAUAUGGCUAUUCAUGUUCUUGUAGUAAUGAGUGUUUAAUAGAAUUGAUGUAUCUUUAAUUUUGUAGUACCUAUAUAUAGAGGUACCUUGGCACCUCUUGGGUGUACUUUUUGAUUAGUUGGAAUAAUUAGAAAAUCAUUCUCCAUUUCUGUAUUUCUUUCUCUAAUAUUUCAAUUCCUAUUAUAGUAGUUCAUUUUUUUUUAGUUUUACAACACGUUAUCAGCACGAGUCUCUACUUUUGAACAAAAAGGUGAAAACGGAGCCUCUACCUUAAAAAAAAAGUGAAACACGAGCUUUUGCCGAAAUUCUGCCGUAUUUUUCCAGUAACUUUUGUCUACUUAUUGAGAAAUGGAUACCAAAUAUUUGGGAUUAAAUAAUGGUGAUGAUGACAUUUGUCUCAUUGAUAGUGCUACUACGCACACUAUAUUGAAAAAUAAAAAAAUUUUCUUGUAUGAAAAUGGGAGAGACAAAUGUUAAUACCAUAAGUGAUAGUGCAAAAUUGAUUGAAAGAUCCGAAAGAGCCAUUCUAUUUCUUCCUGAAGGGACUAAAAUUGUCGUAAAUAAUGCACUAUUGUCUCCCAAGUCUCGGAAAAAUUUAUUGAGUUUUAAAGAUAUCCGCGAAAUCGGAUAUCAUAUUGGGACAAUGACUGAGACAAAUGGAGAAUUUUUAUUAAUCACAAGUAUCAUUUCUAGGCAGAAAUACGUAGUAGAAAAAUUACCUUCUUUUUCUUUUGGCUUAUAUUAUGUACAAAUUAGUGCAAUUGAAAUUUAUCACCUAGUAGCCCAGAAGUCUACUCAUUCCAAUAAUUUUAUCAUUUGGCAUGAUCAUUUCAGAAAUCUUGAAUCUAUAAUGAUGAGACGAAUAAUCGAGAAUUCACAUGGUCACUCAUUGAAAAAUCCAAAGAUAUUAAAAGCAAAUGAAUUCUCCUGUGUUGCUUGUUUCCAUGAAAAAUUAAUUAGACCAUCGCCAGCUAAAGUUGGGACUAAAUCCCCUAAAUUUCUAGAACGAAUUCAUGGAGAUAUAUGUGGAUCAUUUUGAUAAUUUAUGGUGCUAAUUGAUGCAUCAUCUAGAUGGUCACAUGUAUGUUUAUUAUCUACUCCCAACCUGGCGUUUGCGAGAUUGCUUGCUCAAAUAAUUAAAUUGCAAGCACAAUUUUCAGACUAUCCAAUAAAGAAAAUUUAUUUAGAUAAUGCUGGUGAAUAUUCGUCACAUGCUUUUGACGAUUAUUGCAUGUCCAUUGGAAUAACUGUUGAACAUCCUGUAACUUAUGUUCACACACAAAAUGGUCUAGCCGAAUCAUUUAUUAAAUGGCUACAAUUAAUUGCUAAACCAUUGUUGAUGAGGUCUAAACUAUUUUCAUCUGCUUGCGAACAUGCUAUAUUACAUGCAGUAACACUUGUGAGAAUUAGACCGACAAGUUAUCAUACUUAUUUUCCCCUACAAUUAACUUUUGGUUAUGAAUCCAAUAUUUUUUAUUUACGAAUAUUUGGUUGUUCGGUUUAUGUUCUAAUUGCACCGCCCCAACGUCGUAAAUUGGGCUCGCAAAGAAGAUUGGAAAUAUAUGUCAGGUAUGAAUCACCUUUAAUUAUUAAGUAUAUGGAACCAUUGACAGGUAAUUUAUUUACUGCGAGAUUUGUAGAUUGUCAUUUUGAUGAAUCACAUUUUUCAACAUUAGGGGGAGAUAAAAAUCAACCGAAAAAGGAAAUCACUUUAAAAUAUCAUUGAAUUUUCUCGAUUCUCGUACAAAAGAAUGUGAACUAGAAGUUCAAAAGAUUAUACAUUUGCAAAAAAUUACAAAUCAAUUACCGGAUGCAUUUAAUGACUCCAGAAGAGUUACUAAAUCACAUAUUUCUAUUGAAAAUGCUCUGAUUAAAAUUAAUGUCCUUGAAGGACAAAUUACAAGUGCUAAUGAGUUUAAAGUGCGCUUGAAGCGUGGGAGAUCUCUUGGUUCCAAAGAUGAAAAUUUUCGAAAGAAAAGAGGAGUACAUGAAUCAACAAUUAAUGACAAAAUUCAACCUCCUGAAGAGAUCACUCCUAAAGAGCCAAUUCUUGAUGAGAAUGAAAUCAUAGAAAAUUCAAUAAAUUUUGUCACUUCAGGAAAAAGUUGGAACCGAAAUGAAAUAAUUAUUGAUAGUAUUUUUGUAUAUAAUGUAGCACUUGAUAUUAUGGUAGAGAAUGAGGAUUACGAGCCUAAAUCGAUUGAUGAAUGUCGACGUAGAAAUGAUUGGCCAAAAUGAAAAGAUGUGAUCCAAUCUGAAUUGGACUGACUAGUUAAAAGAAAAGUUUUUGGACCGUAGUCCAAACACCUGAAGGUGUGAAGCCAGUAGGAUAUAAAUGGGUAUUUGUGAGAAAAAAAAAUGAGAAAAAUGAAAUCGUGAGGUAUAAAGUAAUACUUGUAGCCUAAGGAUUUUCACAAAGGUCUGGAUUUGAUUAUAAUUACACGUAUUCACCUGUAGUGGAUCCUAUCACAUUUAGAUAUCUUGUGAGUUUUGCAGUACAUAAAAAAUCAGAUAUGCAUCUAAUGGACGUCGUUACUGCAUAUUUAUAUGAAAAUCUUGAAAAUGAUAUUUAUAUGAGAAUUCCCGAAGGAUUCAAUAUGCCUGAAGCAUGCAAAUCAAAUCCUUAAAAUAUUUAUUUAAUUAAAUUACAAAGGUCUUUGUAUAGAUUCAAAGAAUCUGAACGUAUGUGGUACCGCCUCAAUGAAUGUUUAAUUAAAGAAGGCUAUACCAAUGAUCCAAUAUGUCCAUGUGUCUUUAUCAAGAAAAAUGGAUCAAAUUUUGUGAUAAUUGUUGUAUAUGUUGAUGAUUUAAAUAUGAUUGGAACUCCUGAAGAGAUUCAAAAUAGUGUUGAAUAUUUAAAAAAAAAAUUGAGAUCAAAGAUUUUGGAAAAAUAAAAUUCUUCCUUGGUUUACAAAUUGAGCAUUUGAAAAGUGAAAUUUUUGUCCACCAAACUGCUUAUACCCGAAAGGUAUUAAAGCGAUUUUAUAUGGAUAAGUCACAUACAUUAAGUAUUCCAAUGGUCUGAUCAUUAGAUCCUAAUAAGAAUCCUUUUAAACCGCGAGAGGAAGAUGAAGAGAUACUUGGUCCUAAAGUACCAUAUCUCAGUGCAAUUGGUGCACUACUGUAUCUUGCUAAUUGUACAAGACCUGAUAUAUCAUUUGCAAUAAAUUUAUUAGCAAGAUUUAUUUCCUCGCCCACAAGACGACAUUGGAAUGGUAUUAAACAUAUUUUUCGUUAUCUUUAAGGAACAAAUUGAUCUUGGCUUAUUUUAUUCAAAUAAAUCUAAACUUGAAUUGCUUGGUUAUGUUGAUGUUGGAUAUUUAUCUGAUCUGCAUAAAGCAAGAUCUCAGACUGGUUAUCUAUUUACAUAUGGAGGUACAACCAUUUCUUGGCGAUCUACAAAGCAAUUAUUAGCCGCCACUUCAUCGAAUCAUGCUGAAAUAAUAGCAAUUCAUGAGGCUAGUCGAGAAUGUGUUUCGUUAAGAUCAAUGACCUACUGUAUCCGGCAGAGUUGUGGGUUAUCCUCCGAAAAAGAAAAUCCUCCAACUAUAUUUUAUGAAGAUAAUGCAGCUUGUAUAACUCAAUUGAAAGGAGAAUAUAUUAAAGGAGAUAGAACGAAAUAUAUUUCACCAAAAUUCUUUUUUACUCAUGAUUUACAAAAGAAUGGUGAAAUUGAUGUGCAACAAAUCCGAUCAGAUAAUAAUUUGAUAGAUUUAUUUACUAAUGUAUUGCUGACUGCAAUAUUUGAGAAAUUGGUGAAGAAUAUUGGAAUGCGACGACUAUAAAAUCUCAAAUGAUAUUUGCAUCAGAGGGAGAAAUCAAUACACAAGAAUAGUGUACUCUUUUUUCUUCACUAGGGUUUUUGUGCCGUUGGAUUUUUUCCUAGUAAGGUUUUAAUAAGACAUAUUCUGUGUAUAAUGGAUAUCCAAUGGGGAGUGUUAUGAAACAACUAAAAGUGUGGAUAUCCAUUUGUAUUCUCAAGAAGAUCAAUUCAUAAUUCAUUGCUCCCAAGAGAAUUAAUUCAUAAUUUAUUGCUACAUUGUGUAAAGGAAUUACAUUGGAUGAUCGGUUUCAAUCCAUAAGAGCUAUUCAUGUAUUGGAUGAACCAUUUCAUAUGGCUAUUCAUGUUCUUGUAGUAACGAGUGUUUAAUAGAAUUGAUGUACCUUUAAUUUUGUAGUACCUAUAUAUAGAGGCACCUUGGCACCUCUUGGAUGUACUUUUUGAUUAGUUGGAAUCAUAAAAAAAUCAUUUUCCAUUUCUGUACUUCUUUCUUUAAUAUUUCAAUUCCUAUUAUAGUAGUUUGUUUUUUUUUUGUUUAGUUUUACAACAUUACUUAAAUAAGAGAGUUAUUGGACUAUAUGUUUAUUGACCUCUACUAACUUAUUUAAGGUCAUUUUAUAUCACUAUCCAAAGAAGAAUUAAGGUCAUUGUAUAUCACUAUCCAAAGAACAAUUCUUGGGCGCUAACAUUUUUCUUACAUGCCAAGACUAUUAAUGAAAGUUGACCCAAAUCUCUCUCUCUUUCUCUCAAUUCUUAGGACUGAUGCCAAUUCUUACCAUUUAGAAAGAAAAAUUAGAUUGUUUAUAUAUAUGAUGAGUUCCCUCUAAGUCAUGGUUAAGAAAAAUUCUUAGUUAAACGUAGUUUUAUGAAAUGUGAAUUUCCUUUUCGUUGUCUUUAUUCAUUAGUAUUGUUGGGAUUAUUGUAUUAUAAUUGCAAUGCACAGAUACAUGGACUUUUGACAUUUUUUCUUUUUAAUUGACUCUGACUAUGUCUCGAACUCGAGACAUCAAACCUGGAGACGACUUUUGUCCAAAAUGCUUGUAAAAAUUCAGAAGAAUAAUUUUGGACCUUAUUAUUUAAUAAUGGUACAAUUAUGAGAGUCAUUCCUAGUUAAUUAUCAAACUUGGAACUUGAAAAUAAUGUCGACAUCAUGUCCUUAUUAUUUUUUUGUUUCAUAGAAAAAUAAAGCAUUCUCGGACUCGACAUUAUCAUAUUAUUUUCAAUUGUCAGCUUAAGUGAGAAAGACAGGUGAAAAUUUUGUGCAUUACUAAUUUAUUUAGGCCUCACGCGUCGCGCGAAGGUGCCCACAUCAUCUUCGCUGUAUUGGAGAAAUUUGAGCGCUUUGAUCAUAAGAAAUUCACAAUCACAACUGGCCACAAAGAAAGCACUAACUGGUUUAAACAAAGCAUGCAAAUUUCUUAAACAAUAGACACCUAAACCAACCAUUUUACCGUCUUGCCAAAAAAAGGGCAUUAAAGUAAAAACAACCUAUGCCUAACACAGCUAACAAACUUCAGCACCUUCACUUCACUGCCACGUCAUCAACAACAUUUGCAAAUUUCCAAGGAAGUCCAUGCACUAAAGGUGCCCAUGCCCCAUAGGGGACCUCAGGUUAGUGUUCAACUCCUGUCUUUCUAUUCUUAGGAAAUAUUGAAAUUAAACGUUAUAACUAAUCCUGAUUUCCUUAUGCUAUAUUUGUACACAAUUUGGCAACAAGGGCUCUUUUUUUUUUUGGGAUAAGAUCAUCUCAGCACCCGCAGACCCGUCAUGUAUCAAUAUUUCUGUACUUAGCAUUGGCUUCUUCCGCCUGAAGAACACAAGAACCACCGAAAUAGAUGGUGAAUGAAAGUGCACUUAACCCUUUUAAUUUUUAAAACAAUUGCUUUUAGAAAAAAAUAAUAAAAACUUUUUUGAAUUUAAUUUUAGAGAAGAAGAAUUUUAAACCUUUUUGAAUUUAAUCUUGGAGAAGAAGAAGUUUAAAACGUGCUUUAAUUUUCACAACUGAUGAUGAAAAUAGCAAAAUGUUCACGGAGAGUGACAAAAGUGCCAUCUUAUCUUUUUGCUGACUGCUCCGCUUUCCAAUGAGAGGGUCCAGAAGGGACCACGGGGAAGAACAGUUGCAGGUCCAAUCGUUUCUAGCGAUUUUGUGUAUUUUAUACACCGUAUAAUUUUAUUUAUACACGAUAUAACUUUAUUUGUACAACGUGUGAUUUUAAAAUAAAUUCUUAUGAACCCUACACACGUUAUUAAAAAUGAGGUACAAAAAAUAAUUUGGAUCGCAUAAAUUUUUUGGACCAAAUUUUGACCGUGAACAACUCAGGAGCGAUCCAUCUGAUGACCGCUUCUGCCUCUUAUCCAUCCAAAAGGGGGUGCCUCUGCUUCAUAUUUUAUCCAUAUUGAAAUAUUUUUUUUCCUGUGCCUCUAAGUAUUAAAUGUGAAAGGUUGCCCACCAUAUUUGACGAAACCGUUUAUCCUAAUUGAUUAUUAUCAAUAGGGCAUAACUUUAAUAUUCUUCGUCCAACCCUUUCUGGUGAUUGCUGCAACUCCAGCCGUCUGUCAACGACCAUCGAGCACCAUUAACCGACAACUAACUAACCACUACUAAUCUAUUCUCAAAUUUUAAUGAAAUUGCACAAUUAGUUUUCAUUUCUCACUUUUAUUUCAAAUUUGGUCUCAAUUUAAUGUGAACCCCAACAAAUAAGAUCGGAGUUGAAAUCAAAGAAGGUAUUUCAAUCACCAUCAGAUAAAUUCUUCAUAUCUAGUUUUGUUUUUGAGAUGCAUAGAAAAUGUAAGCUGAUUUUUCAAUCUACGAGAAAAACGAAGUCUAAGAGAAUAAUUUUGUCAAAAUUUGACAAUGGAAUAACAGUUGUGAACGGGCGGCCACUGGUUGGCAGCUAGAAGUUAUAGCAGUUUUAAAACAUAAUUGGAGAAAGUAAAAGAUUAAAACUAUGUUGUCUACUAUUAACGACUUACAUUGACAAAAUGGCUAAAGUUAGGGUUGAAAAAUAAAUCAAACUAUGCGACAUUCGAAUCGACUUCGAUUGGUAAGAGUUUAUUUCAAUUUAGUUUGUCAACUAGUUAAAUCAAAUUUGAACAACAUUUUAUAGUCGAUAACUUUGAAACUUGAUAAAAAAGUCUGUUUAAACUCGAUUUAGUAAAUAAACAAAUCAAGUUUGAACAAAAUUUUAAACUCAUUAAAAUAAUUAAAUACGUUUGAAUACUAGGGUAUUCGAUUUAAUUAGACAUGUUUGUACCCCUAAUUAAAGCAUGCACUUUUAUAAGUUUAGGAAUCAACAUUAUACAUUUAAUAGCUAGCUAGAGGGUCAAAAAGUUAAUUGCCUUAAAUUCUUUUAGCAGCCAUAAGGUAUAGUUGGAGGGAUUCCCUUGAAAUUGAUUAGAUUCUUCUAUGUGACUAAAGAAUUUCGGGUGUGACGGAGUACUAGUCCUACCCUAAAAAAAAUGGUAUUACUAGUCCUUUUUUUCUUUUUUGGCGUGCCCCCGCCGUGGGGUGUGGGGAGGGGAGUCUGUGCGAGAAUUCUAGAUGGGGUACAAGGAGCCAAAGUUCACCUUAUUCAAAGUAAACAGCCUUCCAUCUCAGAUGUUGAAUUUCCUGGCAAUUGCGUAUGUAUUACAAUCUUUUACCAUGACUUUAGAGGAUAGCUAAUUUUGCUUGCUAUUAAAUAAUAAUUUCGGUAGUCUAUAAAUACUCUUGUUCCUCACUGCUUCUUGCACCACAUAAUUCUUUCAAGAACUACCAAAACCUUCUUGAAAUCCCUCUCUUUCCUUUUAGUUCAUUUCCAAGAAACCAAUUGAACCAUCAUGGCCCCUGUCACUUCCAGUUAUGAGGUCACCUCCUCAAUCCCUCCUGCAAGGUUGUUCAAGGCCACCAUCCUUGAAGAGAAACAUCUUCACAAGAUCUUGCCACAGGGUGUUAAGAGUGUCGAAAUCCUUGAAGGAGAUGGUGGAGUUGGCACAAUUAAGUUGACCACAUUUGUUGAUGGUAAGAUAAUCAAUACAAAGUGAUUAUUUUCACACAUUUGAAGUCUUCAAAUUGCUCCUUUUUUUUUCCUUUUAUUUGGGAAAAACUAAUGACUUUUUUUUUUGGUUGGGUUAAAUAUUUAGGUGGCGAGCAUAAGACUGCCAAGCAGAGAGUUGAUGGAAUUGACAAAGAAAAAUUUACAUACAGUUAUACUGUACUUGAAGCUGAUGGAUUUAACGAUGUAAUCGAGAAAAUCUGUUGUGUCAUCAAAUUUGAACCCUCUGCUGAUGGAGGUUCAAUCUGCAAAACCACUAACACAUACCACCCCAAAAGUGGUGCUCAGAUCGGUGAGGAACACCUCAAGGGAGGAAAAGAGAUGGGUUUGGGAAUGGUUAAGGCUGUUGAGGCUUACCUCCACGCAAAUCCUACUGCCUACAACUAAUUAUAAUGAAUGCUACUGAAGGACUCUUCGACAUAUUUUCUUCAAGAUUGAAGUACACACUGAGGGUGUGUUUCCUUUUUUGCUUGGUUUGCUUUAAGCUGUUUGGUUAAGUUAAAAACAAAAUUGAAUCAUAGAGAGAACAAAAAAAAUAUAGUGUUUCUUAUGGAGAAAAAAAUGGAGCUGAUGCCUAAAAUCUCACAUGGAUCCAACUCAGUCCAUUUAAUGGAGAAAAGGCAAAUAACACAACAAGAAUAUGCUCAAAGUUGGAAAAAUGUGCUAUAAUUAUGAUUACUCCUUUAUGAAAUAAAGCUGAAAGCAGCUCAAUUUCUUUUUGUUUUCCAUAUUAUUCAAUUUCGUUGUCGAUUUUUGAUAGAUGUAUUUUUUUUAUUGCUUUAAUAAGGGCUAUGAUUGGAUAUCCUGUUAUGCCAUUGGCUGUCGAUGCUAAACCUGAUAAAUUAGAUGGAUCAUCCAAAUAAAGACAAAAUUGGCUAUGUAAACAUUGGUGAGGGACUAUUUCAGCUUAAGAAAAAUAGUUGAGGGACUAAAUUGGCUUAUAAUAAAAUUAGGGACUAUUUCAGCUUUGUAAAAAUAGUUGAGAGACUAAAUUGACUCAUGAAAAGUUUAGGGACUAUUUUGACAUUAACGAAAUAGUUUUGGGACUAUAAACAUUAGGUCACAAUGUUGAAAUAUCAAAACACAUGUUUGGGACCAAAACUCAUAGAACUUCUUCACGUCGCCAACGAAAUUUGAUUCUGAAGUAAUGCUAAUUUUAUUUAUUAUUUGUUUCCUUGCUGGUCUUCUGUCUUUUUGGUUACAAUAUUAAAAUGUAUCCAUAAUUUUCAAUUCCAAAAGUGUUGAAUAUUUAAACGAAUUCUAGGAAGGGCACUGAGAGUCAAAAUCUUAUUCAAACAGCCAGCCAUCUCAGAGUACAUAUUUUUUUAUUAUCAGGUUUAAAAUGUAUCUAUUGCAAUUUUUGAAUGAUUAGCCAUGACUAAGAGAAUAAAAUAAUUCACUUGCUGUUUUUAGAUAUGAAUUCAUGACUGUCAGUAGUCUAUAAAUACACUUAUUGCUCACCACCCUUAAUUUGCACCGCAAAAUCUUUUCAAGAUCUAUCAAACCCUCCUGUUCUUGAUCUUUGUCCAUUUGUGAAAAAGCAAAUUAAAGCAUCAUGGCUCCUAUCACUUGUAGUGCUGAGAUAACCCCCCCAAUCCCUCCUGCAAGGUUGUUCAAGGCCGCCAUCCUUGAUGACCACCUUCUUCCCAAGAUCAUGCCACAGGCUAUUAAGAGUGUGGAAAUCCUUGAAGGAGAUGGUGGAGUUUGAACGAUUAAGUUGAGCACAUUUGGUGAAGGUUAGAUGUUAUAUUAAAUGUAGAACCCAAAUUUUAAGGAUCUAAUAAUAAUCAAUGCGUGCAGGGUUACAGAAUUGAAGGGAUAAAAUAAAUAUUCAAAAUAUACGUGGAAGAAAAGAAAAUAAUAAUUCAACUCACAAUAUUAUUAAAAUUUCAAACAAUGAAAAAAAUCACACCACAAUAAAUUUAGCUGGUUCUAAUAAUAAUCAAAGCAUACAAGCUUACAGAAUUAAAAGGAUAAAACAAAUACUCAAAAUAUAUGUGGGAGAGAAGAAAAUAAUAUAUUCAACACACAAUAUUAUUGAAAUCUCAAACAAUGAAAAAAGUCACACCAUAAUAGAAAACCUUGCAAAUUUUUCUAGAUUCUUUCUCUUGAGAAACCAACCUAAAUAAUAUCCUAUUUAUAAUCUACCAAACUUGUUAGGAAAGAAAUCACUUGCGUAAGAAAUUACGAAAUAAAACAGAAAUUCCUAAAUCACACAACUACUAAAAACAUAACUCAAAUAAAAUUAGAAAAUAAAUAAAUAUUUCUAGGCUUAGUUUAAUUUGUCAACAUUGCCUCCCUUAAACCAAACUAUCCAGUGAGAUAGGUUCAACACCAUCUCAAGCAACAAUUUCUAUGUAAAUCUAUGUCGUAGUAUACUUGACAUGAAACUCUAACUUGUUAUUGGUUAUUAAUUUUGUCUUUACAUGUAACAGUGGAUGCACUAUGUAUUUUGUAAAAAAAUUCUCAACAAUUUCUUCUUGAUCAAAGUACUCACUUAUAUAAACCCAUUCAUCACCAGAAUCACCAUAUUUACCACCAAUGUAAGUGCCUAAAAUUACAAAAUCAUAGAUUGCUUUCUCGCUAAAAUUAUCAUCACCAAAUAAUUCAAAAUAACCACUACUACAAUCAUCCAAAAAUUUCAUACUGUCAGUCAACUCUUUUGGAGUAAAAUAUUUUUCAACUCCAAUGUCAUCCAUAUCUAUCAAAUCAAACAUUCUCCCAUCACUUUGAAGAGACUCCGAACCAACGAAUUUUUCAACAGCAAUUUCAUGUUCUCUUCUCUUAUCAAAUCAAAAUUUUCUUCUUCUUUUGUCAAAUUACCAUAUUAUUUUUUUUCAACAAAUUCAUUACUUCUAAUUUCUCCAAACAAGGUACGCAAAUCAAAAAUAUCAAUUGAUCCAAAAUUUUCGGUAUCAGCCAUAUUAUCAACAAAUCUAUCAUUUUUUAAAUCCACAAACCAAUACCAGCAACUAGACUUCAGUUCGAAAGCAUAAUUUCUUUCAAUCAUGUGCAAAACAUAGUAAAUAUGCUUCCAAAAUCUCUAAAGUAUUUUAGUACGACCGAUAAAGGUUUUAUAAAUACUUUUUGCCAUUAUUUUACGCAUCACUUGAAAGAAUAAUUGUGCCUUUUUCUUAAAAACAUGUUUUUACAACUUAAUUGCAUCAACCCAACAAAGAAUAUCAUCCAAAUUACAUUGUUUGAGAUAUUUUUCCACUGUUAAAAUCCAACCAAAAUAUGUAUGUCUAUUUGUGCUUAUAGGAGUCAAUAUGGAAAAUUUUUCACCAUCAAUCAGAUCUUUAUAAUAUCCAUUAUUUAACAAUUUGUAUACCUGAAUAAAUUUUUUUCCUCCAUCCUAUCAUGUUUUCUUGCCCUCCAUGGUUGACUGACCAAAUUAUUGUUGUAUGUAUACCCAUGCUCGUCAAACCUCAUUCGUGUACACUCGUAAGGAGUGGUUCUGAGCUUAUUGUGAAUGCUCAGUACCAAGAAGUAGAAGAGAUAAUGCAUAAGAGAGAAUUAACUUGGCUAAAGAAUUGGGAAGCAAUUUAGGGAUUUUUUAAGAAAUUAAUUCUCCAACCGCCACUUUUGGAAAUUUCUAUCAACAACUAGUUACCAAAACACUAGCACAUAGUAAGAAAUCCGGAUAAUUUCAUAAACCUACCUUUAGGUUUUUAAUAAUUUCAAGAAGCUCUCCUCAAUAUUUUAAAAUUACACAUACUUUCCCUAUUGGUGCAAAAGUACUCUACUACCCCUAAUAGGAUACUCAAAAGACUUUUUUAUGGGAAAAAAGAAGCUCAGAAAGCCAAGCAAAAACAAAAAUCAAUUGAUUUUCUCUUUUAGCCUUUUACGCUUUUGCCUUCUACCUUUACGCGCUUUCCCAUGCCAAUCUUCCUAUAACGACUUCCCUAGUCCCCUUUCCCCAACUUUUCUCCUCUACUUCAAGACCAAUUUUUGUCCAUCAAUCCUGGCUUGUGCUUUGUUACAUUCCCUUCCCUUCUCCUUUUUUGAUUUCCCCUACAUCUCCUUUUCUCUUUGCAAAAGUGACUAGGCUCGUCUCUCUCUCUCUUUUCCCCUAUUCUAAGUGUAGUGGAUUUGAUUAUUUUGCAUCUAUUUUAUUUGAUUUUGCUUGAUUAUGGGUGAUAAAACUUGGUGAUAUCAACCAUCAUAAGUUUGAUAGAUGGAUAUUGGGCUUUAGGCAAUGAUUUGUUGAAAAAAAAUGGCUGCAAUGAGAGGAAGAGGCAAGGGGAUUUGAGUGUGGGGUUGAUUUUUGAUGAAUUGUUGUUUUGGACAAAAUUUGAGGUUGAGUUUUAUCAAAUUUGGUAGCAAGUGGCGAGAUUUGUUCUGGUUGUGGGAAAUAAAUUGGAUUGUGGUUUCUUGGGCACCCACAGUUGUUGGAAUUGGUUUUGAUUCAAAUAAGGGUGGUUACUUGAUUUUCCUAAUAGUGUUGCUUAAGAGCACACGAUCAUCAAAAUUCCUUAUUUUUAUCUUUUAUUUGUAGAAAAGAUUUCAUGACUUUCAUGAUAGUCUAAUUUGGAAGAAGGCAAUCAAGGGAUGCAAUCAACAUUUAGCAAAAGCUCUUGUUCUUUUCUUUGUAAAUUUCUGGGUAAAGAGGGUAGUUUAGGGUAUUUGAAGGAAAUGAUAGCCUAUUGGGCAUAUUUUGAAGCAUAAAUAGUGAAAGUGAGGGAGGUUGGUGUAAUUUCUGAAACCUAAGGGAAGCUGUCUGAAAUUGUCCUAGACCUCAGGGUAGGUUUCUGAAAUUAUCCCUAGAAAUCAAAUGCGAAACUUGAUUAGUACACGCACACACCACACCGCACCGCACCCCGCCAUGCGUGUAUUGAGGACCGAUGUCCGUAACGAACCACAAGCAGGUUUUCAAUUUCUUUUUUCCUUUUCUGGAUUCUCCAGAGAUAGUGUCAACUUCUAUUAGUGAUGAGCAGGAGGAAAUGCACAAUAUAAAGUACAGAUCACCCAUAUUCUUUUUAAUUGCACAAUGUAUGAGAUUAUGGUGAUUCGAAAUUAAAUUAUAGGUUUAUUGGGCUACGAAUCCAAAGUAAGCGUUGGAAAUGUAUUGUGACAACAAUUGUUAACUUAGGCCACAAAUGAUCAAAAUAAAUAUUGAAGGUUUAAUAUGAGAUUAUGGGUACGUUCAAAAUAUAUUUACUCAAAGAACAAAGUUAUUCGACUAUAUGUUUAUUCACGUCUACUAACUUAUUUAAAGUCAUUUUUUAUUUCACUAUCCAAAGAAGAAUUCUUGGGCGUUAACAUUUUUCUUACAUGCCAAGACUAUUAAUGCAAGUUGACCCAAAUCUCUCUCCCUUUUUCUCUCAAUUCUUAGGACGUACUGAUGCCAAUUCUUACCGUUUAGAAAGAAAAAUUAGAUUGUUUAUAUAUAUGAUGAGUUCCCUCUAAGUCAUGGUUAAGAAAAAUUCUUAGUUAAACGCAGUUUUAUGAAAUGUGAAUUUCCUUUUCUUUGUCUUUAUUCAUUGGUAUUAUUGGGGUUAUUGUAUUAUGAUUGCAAUGCACAGAUACAGGGAUUUAAUCGACUCUGACUAUGUCUCAAACUCGAGACCUUAUGCUUGUAAAAAUUCAGAAGAAUAAUUUUGGACCUUAUUACUUAAUAAUGGUACAAUUAUGAGAGUCAUUCCAGGUUAAUUAUCAAACUUGGAACUUGAAAAUAAUGUCGACAUCAUGUCAUUAUUAUUUUUUUAGUUUCAUAGAAAAAUGAAGUAUUCUCCGACUCGACAUUAUCAUAGUGUAUUUUCAAUUGGCAGCUCAUGUGAGAAAGACAAGAAAUUCACAAUCAACUGGCCAAGAGAGUGCCAACAAAGAAAGCACUAAAUGGCUUAAACAAAGCAUGCAAAUUUGCUUAGCACUUAAACAAUAGACACCUAAAUCAACCAUGUCACUGUCUUGCCAAAAAAAUUCACAAUCAACUGGCCAAGAGAGUGCCAACAAAGAAAGCACUAAAUGGCUUAAACAAAGCAUGCAAAUUUGCUUAGCACUUAAAAAAGGGCAUUAAAGUAAAAACAACUCAUGCCUACCACAGGUAACAAACUUCAGCACCUUCACUUCACUGCCACGUCAUCAACAACAUUUGCAAAUUUCCAAGGAAGUCCACGCACUAAAGGUGCCCAUGCCCCAUAGGGGACCUCAGGUUAGUGUUCUUAACAUCAACUCCUGUCUUUCUGCUCUUAAACGUUAUAACUAAUCCUGAUUUCCUUAUGCUGUAUUUGUACACAAUUUGGCAACUAGGGUGUCCUUUCUUGGGCCAAAUUGGACAAGUAAAAAAAAUAAAAAUUAAAAGGUUUAUCUGCAAACUGUAGUUCGGCCUGGCUUCUUUUUUUUUUUUGGAUAAGAUCAUCUCAGCACCCGCAGACCCCGUCAUGUAUCAAUAUUUCUGUACUUAGCAUUGGCUUCUUCUCGCCUGAAGAACACACGAACCACCGAAAUAGAUGGUGCAUGAAAGUGCACUUAACCCUUUUAAUUUUUCAAAACAAUGCUUUUAGAAAAAAUAAUAAAAACUUUUUGAAUUUAAUUUUAGAGAAGAAGAAUUUUAAAAUUUUUUGAAUUUAAUCUUAGAGAAGAAGAAGUUUAAAAUGUACUUUCAUUUUCACAACUGAUGAUGAAGAUAGCAAAAUGUACACGGAUAGUGACAAAAGUGGGAUCACGGGCAGGAAAUCCUGAAGGUUACGUGCAUUUUGUACACGGCAUAAUUCUGUUUGUAUAUGGUAUACCUUACUUUUUACAACGUGUAUUUUUAGAACAAAAUUUUGUGAGUCUCACACAUUUUAUUAAAAAUGAGGUACAAGAUGAAAUUUGGACCGUAUAAUUUUUUUUAAUCAAAUCUUGACCGUGAACUGCUCAGGGACGAUCCACCUGAUGACCGUCCCUGCCCCAGAUCCGACAAAAGUGCCAUCUUAUCCUUUUACUGACUGGCCCGUUUUCCAAUGACAGCGCCCAGAAGGGGUGCCUCUGCUUCAUAGUUUAUCCAUAUUGAUAUUUCUUUUCUGUACCCCUGACUAUUAAAUGUGAAAGGGUGCCCACCAAAUUUGACGAAACCGUUUAUCCUAAUUGAUUAUUAUCAAUAGGGCAUAACUUUAAUAUUCUACUUCCAACCCUUUCUGGUGAUUCCUGCAACUCCAGCCGUCCGUCAAUGACCAUAGUGCACCAUUAACCGACAACUAACUAACCACUACUAAUCUAUUCUCAAAUUUUAAUGAAAUUGCACAAUUAGUUUUCAUUUCUCACUUUUAUUUCAAAUUUGGUCUCAAUUUAAUGUGAAUCCCAAUAAAUAAGACCGGAGUUGAAAUCAAAGAAGGUAUUUCAAUCACCAUCAGAUAAAUUCUUCAUAUCUAGUUUCGUUUUUGAGAUGCAUAGAAAAUGUAAGCUGAUUUUUCAAUCUACGAGAAAAACGAAGUCUAAGAGAAUAAUUUUGUCAAAAUUUGACAAUGGAAUAACAGUUGUGAACCGUUGGUCACUGGUUGGCAGCUAGAAGUUAUAGCAGUUUUAAGCAUAAUUGGAGAAAGUAAAAGAUUAAAACUACGUUGUCUACUAUUAACGACUUACAUUGACAAAAUGGCUAAAGCUAGGGUUGAAAAAUAAAUCAAACUACGUGACAUUUGAAUCAACUGCGAUUUGGUAAGAGUUUAUUUCAAUUUGGUUUGUCAACUAGUCAAAUCAAAUUUAAACAACAUUUUAUAGUCGAUAACUUUGAAACUUGAUAAAAAAAAGUCUGUUUAAACUCGGUUUAGUAAAUAAACAAAUCAAGUUUGAACAAAAUUUUAAACUCAUUAAAAUAAUUAAAUACGUUUGAAUACUAGGGUAUUCGAUUUAAUUAGACACGUUUGUACCCCUAAUUAAAGUAUGCACUUUUCUAAGUUUAGGAAUCAACAUUAUACAUUUAAUAGCUAGCUAGAGGGUCAAAAAGUUAAUUGCCUUAAAUUCUUUUAGCAGCCACAAGGUAUAGUUGGAGGGAUUCCCUUGAAAUUGAUUAGAUUCUUCUAUGUGACUAAAGAAUUUCGGAUGUGACGCAUUACUAGUCCUACCCUAAAAAAAAUGGUAUUACUAGUCCUUUUAUUCUUUUUUGGCGUGCCCCCGCCGUGGGGUGUGGGGAGGGGAGCCUGUGCGAGAAUUCUAGAUGGGGUACAAGGAGCCAAAGUUCACCUUAUUCAAAGUAAACAGCCUUCCAUCUCAGAUGUUGAAUUUCCUGGCAAUUGCGUAUGUAUUACAAUCUUUUACCAUGACUUUAGAGGAUAGCUAAUUUUGCUUGCUAUUAAAUAAUAAUUUCGGUAGUCUAUAAAUACUCUUGUUCCUCACUGCUUCUUGCACCACAUAAUUCUUUCAAGAACUACUAAAACCUUCUUGAAAUCCCUCUCUUUCCUUUUAGUUCAUUUCCAAGAAACAAAUUGAACCAUCAUGGCCCCUGUCACUUCCAGUUAUGAGGUCACCUCCUCAAUCCCUCCUGCAAGGUUGUUCAAGGCCACCAUCCUUGAAGAGAAGCAUCUUCACAAGAUCUUGCCACAGGGCGUUAAGAGUGUCGAAAUCCUUGAAGGAGAUGGUGGAGUUGGCACAAUUAAGUUGACCACAUUUCUUGACG
rnacentral:lncRNA from 1 species